rnacentral:lncRNA from 1 species
UUUGGUAGAAUAAUUGAGGGAUCUUGAGUCUUUGAAAUGUUCAACCUGUGUAAAAUUCCAUGGAUUUGAAGUGUUUUGACGUCGGUAUGUGGAAACUUAAAGAAGGAAAUGAGGAGAAACUGUUUGUUCAAGUCGUUUUCAACAUGCAAAAAUAAUCUGUGUCAAUUUGCAAUUAUGUGACAGCUGCUAGGAAGAUUCAAUCAUUUGAGAAAGGUCCUUUUGAUUUGGUGUUAUUUAACAGUAUGAACAUUUCUCAUUAGUAACUGGUAACCCAACCUACACAGAUGUGUGUUUCUUCAUGUUACAAAAUUAUUUAGAAUUUAGAAACUUAAAUUGCAAUGGAAUAGUUACAAUUUCUUGUACCAAAAAAAAAAGGUUACUACAACUAGUUAGUCCCGAGUGUGUAUAAUAUAAAGAUGGAGCAAUUGCAUAUGCUAUUCAAUUAUCGACCUUUCUGGGCCGUAGAUUCUCAAUAGUGAACACCAUUUUUGAAAGUCCUUUUUUGUGGAAGUGUUGGAAAAUAAUGCAGUAUCGCAACUACUUUUUAACGUGAGGAUACUAAUGGCAAAAAUAUGUCAAGUUUAAACGCGGAAAACUAUAGGGAAAUGUUAUUUGAGUUUUUGAACAUUUAUUACCUUGAAUUCCAUGAACCUGGAGUUUCAACUUUGAAUUGAUAAAAGUUUGGUUUAGAACUCCCAACUAACUUUCACAAUUUAAUUGUGAAGUUUGAAUUCCAUGUAUUGAUCUUUGAAAUUUGACUAAAUUUUUUUUUUGAACAAUAUGAAUCAUUCAUGAAGCUUAAGGACAACAAAUUUGAAUGCCAUGAAAUUUGAAAUUAUACAAAUUUUUCCCCUUCAAGUGUGAAAGAUUAAACUCCAUUAAUUAUUUCUGAAAUUUAAUUUGAUAAAAGUCUGAACUGAACCCAUAAAUAGAAUUUAAACUCUAUCAAAGUUUUAUGAAGUUGUUAGUGUUUAAGUUAGGGAGAGUUUUCUUAUUCAUAUAGUAUUAUUUUUUCCUUAAGAAGUUUAUAUAUCACGAUUACAUUUUAAACCGGUCCCAAAAUUGACCAUUCGGACUAAUUUUUACAUAAUCAAGUGAUCUUGAGAGUGAAAACGAAUGCUAAUUUUUACAUAGUCAACUGUCAAGUGAUCGUGGGAGUGAAAAUAAUUGACCAAUAUCUUUGGACUAUCUGAUUAUGUGUAUAACAUAUAGGACCCGUUUGGUAGGCGGUAUUAGAUAAAAUAAUCCAUGGCUUAAAAUUUAAUCCAUCUAAUACAUUAUUUGGUUACUUUAUUUAAUUUAAUCCAUGGAUUGCUUAUCCACCAUAUGUGGUCUUAUCUUAUCCCUAGAAAAUGGAGGGAUAACUAAUCCAAGGUUUAACAAACCUUGGAUAAGAUCCCUAAAUGACUAAACUAUCCCCUUAUUCCUUUUCCUAAAUUUCUUUUGUAAUUUAAUUUCCUUUUUAUUUAUAUUGAAAUGGUUAUAAAUGUUCUUUUUUAAUUCUCCAAAUUCGUUUUGUGUAAUUUAAUGAUUUCACUAAAAAAAAUUCUCCAUUUUUCUUGAUUUUUUUAUUCAAGAUAGUUUGUCGAUUAACCACUUGAAUUAUUUAUUUUUAUUUUUAUUUUAAAAAAAACAAGCUUUAGGUAUUGAACAAUUUAAGUAGUCUUAAAUCUAUGUUAAGUUUAAGAUAUACUUGACCAACAAAAAAUUAGAAAUACACCGUGCCAUUAAUGAUCUCCUUAAAAGUGGUACAUCACACCUUAAAAUUAAUAACAAUUUAUAUAUAUAUUUGACUUAACUUGUUAAAUGGAAUAGAAAAUCCUACAAAAAAAUAAUAUUGUUCGGCGGUUAUCUACUUUGACCCAAUUACAUGAAAUUAACAAUCUCAUAAUAACAUAAGGGUAUAAUAGGAAAGCAAUUUUUUGUAAAGUUUUAAAUCAAACACAAGAUUAAGUGGAAAGUAAUGAACCAAACACUUGACAAAAAAUAAUUNNNNNNNNNNNNNNNNNNNNNNNNNNNNNNNNNNNNNNNNNNNNNNNNNNNNNNNNNNNNNNNNNNNNNNNNNNNNNNNNNNNNNNNNNNNNNNNNNNNNNNNNNNNNNNNNNNNNNNNNNNNNNNNNNNNNNNNNNNNNNNNNNNNNNNNNNNNNNNNNNNNNNNNNNNNNNNNNNNNNNNNNNNNNNNNNNNNNNNNNNNNNNNNNNNNNNNNNNNNNNNNNNNNNNNNNNNNNNNNNNNNNNNNNNNNNNNNNNNNNNNNNNNNNNNNNNNNNNNNNNNNNNNNNNNNNNNNNNNNNNNNNNNNNNNNNNNNNNNNNNNNNNNNNNNNNNNNNNNNNNNNNNNNNNNNNNNNNNNNNNNNNNNNNNNNNNNNNNNNNNNNNNNNNNNNNNNNNNNNNNNNNNNNNNNNNNNNNNNNNNNNNNNNNNNNNNNNNNNNNNNNNNNNNNNNNNNNNNNNNNNNNNNNNNNNNNNNNNNNNNNNNNNNNNNNNNNNNNNNNNNNNNNNNNNNNNNNNNNNNNNNNNNNNNNNNNNNNNNNNNNNNNNNNNNNNNNNNNNNNNNNNNNNNNNNNNNNNNNNNNNNNNNNNNNNNNNNNNNNNNNNNNNNNNNNNNNNNNNNNNNNNNNNNNNNNNNNNNNNNNNNNNNNNNNNNNNNNNNNNNNNNNNNNNNNNNNNNNNNNNNNNNNNNNNNNNNNNNNNNNNNNNNNNNNNNNNNNNNNNNNNNNNNNNNNNNNNNNNNNNNNNNNNNNNNNNNNNNNNNNNCAGAAGAUUCUUGUCAUUUGAGUAUUUUCUCUAUUUUCAUCUAACACCCAAAAUAAUAAUAAAAAAUUAUUGGAUAAUAAAGAGAUGUCAAAUGAAAAAUUAUCUCAAUAUAUUAUAAUUGAUUGAUUUAUUAGUUUCAUUAUUCAUACAUAUUAGAGGUUUGGUUUAAUUUUUUGGAAAAUAAUAUUAAUUUUUUUAAUUAUAUUGUUCAAAAGAUAUUGUUUGUUGAAUUCGAACUACUAUGUUUUACUCGCGGGUUCAAAAUUUAUUUUAAAAUGAAAAAGUGUUAAUUAUAUGUUUAAAACUUACUUCCAAAUGAAAAUGUGUUAACUAAUAACUAUAUGUUCAAAUAAUUUUAAGCACGGAUAAGCUUAUUUUGUUACCAUUAUAAUAGAAUAGUUAAGAUGAAUUUAUCAACAAAUUAACAAGAAGUCUUGACUAAAUUUGUACUUAAUAAUUUUAAACUUAACAAGUAUAAGGAUCUUUAAAUUUAAAAUUGUGUUAAGAUUUGAAUUUUUUUAUUGACGGAUAGUCUUAAUUAGAUAAAUUUUAAACUUUUUACUUAAUUAACAUGUCAUAUUCCUCUUGCUAAAAUAUAUUAAGUGGAUAUUUAAUUUUUAGAAGGAUUGUAAAUUAUUUUUAUAUAUACAUGUUUCUUUUAAAAUCUUUAGUAACUUAUUGAUUUGUGCUAAAUAGUUAUAUGACCACAUAACAGUUAGGAAGAGAAAAAGUGAGGGUGAUAUUUUUCUUUGAUCAAGAAAUACAAUUAUAUUUUUUUUUAUAUUUCUUUUUUAUUUAUGUGCUAUAUUAAAAGAAUUUAAAAAAUAUUUAACUAUUAAUUAUAUUAAAUGUGCAUUGCAAAGAAAUUAAAAGAAAACAUUUUUAGAAUAUGUUAAAUGUAAAAAUUAAUUUGUCUUUAUUUUCAUUAAUUACUCCACAACUUUUUAUUAUUAUGACCUAUAAAAUAAUUAAUAGUCAUAUUCAUCAUAUUAUUUGGUGUUUCAUAUAGUAGCCCUGUAAAUAAAAUCAUUGUAAGAUUUUAUAGAAGAUCACAUUAGGUUUUUAGAUUGUUAUAUUUUCGGUGCUUAUUAUAUUCAUAUUUUAAUUUGAUUUGAAGAAUAAGAUGAAAAAUGGUGAUCGGCUUGCGGGAGUGGAGUGGACGUCCAUAAGAACUCGAAAGAUAUGUGUACUAAUUUCAUAUUUUUCCUUCUAUUUUUAAUGAGUAAGGAAUUAAGAAUGAUGUUGCAUUUUUAUUGGUAUGAUUUAUCUUUAUUUUGCAUCUUAUGUGAAUUUCUUAUUGCAAUUUUUUUGUUCAAAAUAGUAAAAAAUUUAAUAACUUUAUUGGAAGUCUACUAAGUACUAACCAAACAUUUUUAUCUUACAUCAAUAUUAUAUUUAAUAAAAUUAUCAAAAUUUUAUCACUCUUUAUAACCGCGCGAAGCGCGGAGAAGUUCACAAAUUUGGUGUUUGGGUUGGAGAUGCCCUUAGUGGUACAUCACACCUUAAAAUUAAUAACAAUUAUAUAUAAUAUAUAUAUACACAUAUUUGACUUAACUUGUUAAAUGGAAUAGAAAAUCCUACAAAAAAAAAUAUUGUCCGGCGGUUAUCUACGUUGACCCAAUUACAUGAAAUUAACAAUCUCAUAAUAACACAAGGGUAUAAUAGGAAAGCAAUUUUUUGUAGAGUUUUAAAUCAAACACAAGAUUAAGUGGAAAGUAAUGAACCAAACACUUGACAAAAAAUAAUCCCGACACUACUAAUUCCUGCAUUACUAAUACAUGCGUUACUAAUCUGUGCAUUACUAAUCCCUGCAUUGUCAAUGUUUGUACCAAACGACCCCAUAGUGCUUAAGUGUCUAAAUAGUAUAUGUAUAUAUUCUUAUUUAAUAAAAUGAAACUAUUUUUAAUAAUAAACAAAGGAAUAUUUCAAUCAUGUCGAUGAAUAACCUUAGAAAAGAUAGAUUUAUGUAAGUUUCCAUCGUGGGGUCACCACGUAGAGGCUCAAUCAUAUUUGGAACUUGGCCCACGGCAGUAUGGUUGGCUUAGGGAGCUUAUUUAGAACCGUUGAUUUAUACGUCUUAAAAUAUUCAACAUGCAGAUUUAUAGUAUUAAUCUAGACUUUAGUCGUUUCCACUUUAUUUGGCCAAUCAACGGUUUUAGAUUUAUUCUUAUCGGCGAUUAAUUUGCUUCUAUAAAACCACUCGUGCCAACAACUUCACACUCUCUCCCCCAAAGGAGGGCAGCGGAGGUUACUCGCCUUUUGCUUCUGAAUCAGAUAGACCGAUCUGCAAAUUGAUCCCACGAAUAAGAUGUUAUUGAGAAGCUCAUCAACCCCUUUACUUAAUUCAUGGAAACCGAAACCAUGUGGGUCGUCGCCGGAAUCCGAUUUAUUACCUAUAACGACCCAGCAAUUGAACAGGACACGAUCUGUGUUAAUGUCGACGUCGUUUGGUCCGGAUGAAACUCCGGCGAAACAUACGUCUCCGACGAAACAUGCACCUAAUAGGUGUAUGUGCGAGUUGGACCCACGAGAUCCAGCUGUUCCGAAGAAGAACAAAAACGGAACAAAAAGAGAGGCGAAGACUCCGAAGCUAAAGAAUAACGAAGUGGGUUCGACGGAGGUGAGGAGGUUGUUGUCGAAUUCUGGUUUGGGGAAUGCGGAGGAGGAGGCUAGUGUGGCGGUUGAGGAGAAAGGGAGGGUGUUGCAGUCUCUGGUGGCGGGUGGUGUAGGUGGAGGAGGAGGAGGAGGUAAAGUUUGCGGUGGCGGAGGUAGCGGAGGAUCGGAUGGUGGAGAUGGGUCUGAUUCUCAGGAUUCAAAUAGUUGGCAUGGACCUGAUAAUAUAGAUGCCUAUUACCAGAAAAUGAUCGAAGCCCACCCAGGAAAUGGUCUCCUUCUGGCCAAUUAUGCCAGAUUCUUGAAAGAGGUAAAAAAAUUCUAGAUGAAAUUUCCUCUGCCUUUUAUAAAUUCAGAUCCAGAAUUUUGACUUGAUAGGUUCAAAACAGCUCCAUCCGCCUAAUUUUGUUUUGAGUUUGUUUAAUUGAUUCAUUUUUUACUACUACACUGAUUUAUUGAUUCGUGGGAUGCCAAUUAUUGAUGCAAACAGGUUAGGGCUGAUUUAGAAAAAGCUGAGGAAUACUGCGGAAGAGCGAUUUUAGCAAACCCGAAUGAUGGUUAUGCGUUGUCACUCUACGCUGAACUGAUAUGGCAAACUCAGAAAGACGCUGCUCGUGCCCACACUUACUUUGAUCGAGCUGUGAAAUCUGACCCUGAUGACUGGUAUGCAUAUGCUUUGCAUUUCCUUUUUAAGAUUUGAAAUAUUCAGUGGGAUAAAUAUUGUUAUAUAUGUCACUUUCUGGGCAUUGUUAUCAUGUUUAUGAUUGAUGGAUUGAUUCCAGCCUGAAUGAAUGGGCUCUCUACCAGAUGGGCCACUUUUUUUGGAGCUAUUUGUCCUCUCUCUCAAAAAUAUCUUGGUGGUCCAUUUGCCCAUACUUUUAUUUACUUAAUUAUAUUUUUAGCACGUCCCUUCCAUGUAGGUUUGAUUCGCUAUUCAUGGCCAAACACGUGUAACUAUCUUUUUGAUAAUGAGUGAUGGUGAAAUUUGAUCCAAGACUUUUGCAUGCUUUGAUAUCAUAUUAAAGAUUUGGAUUUUGAACCUAAUCAGCAUGAUAUCAAAGCAAGCAAGAGCUCUGGAAAUCGAGUCUCACUGUCAUCCAUUAUCAAAAAGAAUUUUCACAUGCUUGGUUCAUGAAAAGAACAUGCCGCUUGUGAGGGGUGUGUUGAAAGACAUAACUAAAUAAAUAAAAAUAACAUCUGUCUAAUAACUUAAGCUUUUAAAUGAGAUGGUCACAUACUUCAACAGAUUGACCCUGUUUUGCCUUCUAAUGUGACGAACGGGUAUUAUUGCAGCUAUGUACUGGGCUCUUAUGCUCGAUUCCUGUGGGAUGCUGGUGAAGAAUAUGAGAAUGAGGGUGAGGAAGAUGAACUGAGUAGGCAAUUUGGUAUACAACAUGAGAAUUCAGGACCAGCCCAGAACUUCUUUGGGGCACCGUCUCAUCGACCUCCCUUGGCUGCUGCUUCUUAGUUUCACAGCCUCUUCCCAUGUUAAUCAGACUCUUGAGCACAUGGUUUAGAUAACUAAUAAGUACUGCUAGUAUAUAAGUAGCUAUGAAAUAGAUUGCUCUCGACUAUGAAGAGUUUUCCUUCCGUCUCUUUUACAAGCUCUAACUAAUUUUAAUUUUGUGAUGUCUGAUAAGUGAUAACCGAGUAUUAUAAUUUGUAUACUUCGCGUUGUUUCUCAAAUAAUAAUGCAUAAAGUGAGUUGUUUUGUAGUUUGAUUAAAACUCACCAUUUUCCAUAAAACACAAGUUCCAGGUGUUCUUGCUGUAGUAUGUAACUCCAGUUUUUUUUUUUUAUAAAGGUAGUGUUGGGGCAUCCUACCCUGUACCUUCAAAUAUUUGAUUGAAUACUUGCCCUCUCAUUAGCAUGUAUCAAAGUUCAUCGCUUUGUUUGCUCUUUUAGAUUGGGCCAUUUUCUUGGGCUUGUAUGUCAUGUUAAUCCAUGCAUGAACUAGUCCAAUAUAGACUUGGGCUACCACCAUAUUGCGGAGUGUGUUGGAAGAUUCUCAGAAGUGUUCAAUUCAACUGAAUAAUGAUGAAGUGAUAUUUGAAUAAAUUGCUAAUUAUCAGAAUUAUUUCCUUAUUCUAUUUUCUUGUCAGGUAAAUAAUUGAGAGGAUUAAAAAAUAUUUACUGAUAUAUAUGUUUCUGUUAUAAAAUAAUAAUAAAGAACUAUCAAAACAACAAAAGAUAAUACUAGUAAUAAAAUAUCAACACAACAAAAGAUAUAGUCCAAGAAAAAAGGGGGAGAGAGAUUUUUUAUUUAUUUUCAAACAAAAUAAUUUGAAGGGAAAAGGGUUUGAAAAAUAUUUUAACUUUAGCCGAAAUUGCUGUUAUGAUACCAAAUUUUAUGGAGGACCUUUUACCCCUGAACUAUUUAAUAAUGUAUUUUUUACCCCCUGAACUAUUUAAUAGUGUAUUUUAAAGGUAUAUAUGUGUCCACGUGGACACAUUACUAUUUAUAAUUAUGCAUUAUUUUUUAUGUCCACGUGGGCACAUAUAUAUCUUUAAAAUACACUAUUAAAUAGUGCAUGAAUAAAAGAUCAUUUCCAAAGUUUGAUAUCGUAACAUCAAUUUGUUUGCUUAAACUAUUUGCGAGCAAUCUACUUAAUUUCAAACCUAUCCAAAAAUAUGCUGAAUGUUUGUAACAGUAAACUCCCAAGGUUUAUUUAACAGUCCUUUUGUUUUCGCCUCUGGUUUAGUAGUAGUAGUAGAAAUAAAAGGAGAUUGCGUAAGAAACAUGACUUGCGCUACCGGAUCCAAAAUCCAAUAUUUAAAUUCAGUUAAUAGAGUUUUGGGGAACGUUAUCCACUGGAAAAAAAAAGAGUUUAGGCAUGAACUAAUCCAAAAAUGGAGCACGUCGUUUGAUUAAGCCAGCAGACGCCACGUGUCUAACCUCAUAAAUCACAGAAAAAGAGAAUAGUCACCCUAUACCAUAACAGCUUUUAUUCAACAAAUCCUAUCCGUCCACUUGUGCGACGUGUGAUAAAUCUGUUGCGUGUUUGAGGCGGUUUCCUAUGAGUUGCGGCGUCUUUUAAGUAUAUGUCAAGCAAGCUUCAUAAAUGGUUGUACUGAUGCAAAAACAGAGCUAAGUUGUAGUUUUUGAGUUUUGAUAUUUGGAGAAGACAAUAAUGGCAAGUAACAAUAUGGAUCUUUCGCCUGUGGAGCUUCCUGCGGCGCCUCUGUCUUGGAAGAAACUGGUAAUUUUUUUACCAAUAUUUCUAGUGUUGUUUGUUCCUCUGCUCUACAAGGCUAUGUAUGUUACUACUCUUUUGGUUGUUUUGAGUAUGCUAUAGUUCCACUCAAAUUGUUUCAUAUGACUUUCAGUUAUUAAUUCUGUUUAUUUUCCCUUAUUUCAGUUAUUAGUUGAGUAUAUUCUUCACUUUGUAGCCUCGAUUUAUUUCUUACUUCAGUCUGAUCAGAUAUGGAAUACCAGAUUUAAGUGAUUUUCUCUUGUUUGUUCCUGUUGUUGAUUGGAGAGUUGACUUUGGGAGGGAAAUAGAGAGUUGGUGAUCUGUUUAACAAGCUAGAUUAAGGCAACAAAGUUUAGUUUUUGGUUAUGUAACAGAAGCUGAUUUUUGUUGUUGCAAAGGCUGGAGUUUCUUCUGAGCUUCUUGAAGAAAUUUCUAUUUUCUAGUCACUACAAGUUAAACAUGAACUGUGGAUGACAAUAUAGUGGAAUAUGAGUGUAAAUUUCAUUUAGAAAUAACUAGUAAACCAACCAUACAAGAAUUACAAUAUGAAUAAUACUACGGUUUCUGUUCACUAAGCUUGAAAUCUAAAUAAGCUUAUAUGGUUCAACACUUGACAACCACCAUGACUUGCGCCAUCUCAAAAGUUCGGAGGGAAUUGUGAGGUACCAAAUGGGAAGUAAUUAAUAGUUCUCUUUCUUUUCGGUGUCUGUUUUCUGCUGUCUUUAAUUAUUCUCUUCACGAGCUAGAUAUCCGUAUCCAUGUUUGUGAUAUCGUUAUUGAUGAGUGAAGAAUUCUGUAUAGUGUCCUACUUAGCUUGUUUGAGAAAUCAGUAUUUGAAAGCUCCUGGGAUUGUAUCCUUCAACAAGGGAUAGUUAAGUAUUUCUUGUGAGGCAUAGUUGGACACCUUAUAUAUUUUCCUCUUAUCUGUUUAUUUGCAGCUCAUGCUGAAAAAGGGUGUUAGAGCAAAGAAGAAUGAGGUUGUAUUUGUUGCUCCAACAGGAGAGGAGAUAAGGAAUAAGAGGCAGUUGGAGAAGUACCUGAAAACACACGAUGGAAAUCCUGGUAUGUCAGAAUUUGAUUGGACUACUGGUGAGGCUCCAAGGAGAUCAGCACGGAUCAGUCAGAAGGUUAAGGCAAUGCCACUUCCAGCAGUGCUUGAGCCGGCAAAGAAGCGACAACGUACGUCUUAUGCUACAAAAAAAGAAGAGGAAAUGGAUAUCGCAGAUAUAGAGAAGGAAAACAUGGAAUCUGCCAUAGAAGAAAAGGAAGGCUUGGAGAAGGAGGAGAAUAUAGUAGAAGUUGAAAUGGAGGACAAGGGGGGUGAGAUGGGCGCUAAUAAGGAAAAUACAGAGCAUAAAAAAGAAGAGGAAAUGGCUGGUACAGAGGUUUCAGAUAGGAAAACUGAGGCCAGCAAUGACAUUCAGUUUGAGGAUGGAGGAGAUAAAAUGGCUGAAAAUGUUACAGAGGAGACUAUAGCAAUUGAUGCCGACUUCUGGAAUGAUUCCAUGGACAAGGACUAUUUCAAGGGAGUGUUUGCAAAUGCUGUAAUUGGAGAAACAAAUGGUGCUGAAGCAGGAAUAGAAGUCGGGGAGAAACCAGGAUACGGGGAAAAUCUAGAGUCCCAGAUUGAUAUAGACAUUAGUGGAGCAGAUAACAUGAAUCACGACAUUCCAGAUAAGGGUACACCAGAAAGAAAAGUCGCAGGAGGAGAGACGUACAACAUUCAGGACCCUGCAUUUGUUGGAGAAGCUAGUGGUUUCCGUGAAGAGCCUAAUUCGGUGGAGGAGGAGAAAAAUAAGAACAGGGCUGGCCUGGUUAUGGAUAAUUGCCAGAUUAAUCAGCCAGAGCGAGCACAUACCCCACAACAUCAAUCUGUUGCCACCAUUAGUUGUUGAGUGUAGCAUCUAAAAUAAAUUAGGCCUUCGCCCAGUGCAUGUUUAAUCCGUACUAGGACGAUUAUAAUAGUUUGCUUAGUAGUUUAGGAAUUAGCGUUUUAGAGAUCAACUUUCCUGAUCUUUCUGUGAUCUGUACUUUGUGAUAUAUUGUGGUCUUCUAGUAUCUUACUAACAUAAAUAAAUGUCAACUUGUUCAUUGUGAUCUUUCUUGUUUAUUGGUACUGCUGAAAUUCAAUAUAUAACGUAAAAAAUGUCUUGAGAAAUAACGGUGUCUCGAGUUCAGGUGGUUAGAACUUACAGCUAAGUAAGAGUAAGACUGUGUAAACUUGGAGAUUGAAAUUCUAGCUAAUUAAGAGAAAGUCGAUUGAAAUUUUGUAUCAUGGAUUCAUGAUUGUUUUUUAUAGUAACAAAGUGUAGUAGUUUAAACAAAAAUUCUCACAGGAAGGAUUAAAGCUAUCAAAAAUAUGUACAGUAGUUUUUUAAAGGGUGAGGAGGUAAUUAAGAAGCAAUAAUUUUUCUGAUAAUCAAAGGAGGAACCUUACUUUACAGUUGCAAAUCAUUUUCGUCUAUCGUAUCGUAAAAAGAAAGGUUCAACUUCCAAGUCAAGUGUUCAUUUACUAAUUGCUCCAUUUGAUUAUUUUGGGAGUUGAAUUAGCCCCAUUUUCCAACAUCCCUUUCGGGUUCUUCUUUCUACCUCAUUUCCCUGUUAAUGUUUCAAUCAACAUUAAAUUCCUACUUUGAUUCCUCACCGCUCUUGCUAUAAUAGAAACUCAAGACCCAGCACCACGCAAUUUAAGAGUUUAGACCAAUUCAAAAAUUCCUUCCCUUAUAUAUACAGAACCAUAUUGUCUAUCUAGUCAUCUCAUCCUACCCUAACAAACUACGUAGUAAUCAUCAAUUUCCUCACUAGCGACUUCCAAAAAACGUCGAAUUAAGAAAUUAGUUACCAAAAACUUAAGAUAUGGACAAAAUGUUGUGCAUGAUGGUCUUUGGUGUUUUAGCCGUUGCAAGUAUGAUGCAAGACGCAACAGCCCAAACGGUGCAUGUAGUUGGGGACACCAUGGGUUGGAUCAUACCAAGCAAUGGCACGGCAGCUUAUACAAAUUGGGCUGCUGGGAAAACCUUCAGCGUUGGUGACACACUAGGUAUGUGUAUUUAAUGAUCAAUUUCCAUUUUCUGAUAUCCUUCAGCUUAUUUUGUAUUAACACAAAUCCAGUGUAUGAUUAUGUUACUUUCCGUAUUUUAUACAGUAUUCAAUUUCACGACUGACCGACAUGACGUGCUGCAAGUAGAAAAAACAUCGUUCGAUGGUUGCAAUUCACUGAAUGCCAUAGGGAAUGCUAUAAUGACAGGACCAGCUAAUAUGACUCUAAACUCUACUGGAGAACACUACUAUAUUUGCACUUUUGGUAUGCACUGCCUAAAUGGCCAGAAAUUAGCUAUUACAGUUUCCAGCGGCACUGGUACUCCAGAAGCCAACCCGCCUAACCCAAGCAAUCCAACAACUCCUGUUGUGCGACAACCAGAAGCUUGUGCACCUACACCCUCUGCUGCAGGACCUUCAAAUUCUGUUCCAGGUGGUCGUGCUCCUCCUACGCCUUCGUCCUCAACGACCGUGUUGGCCAGUUUUGUACUCAGUCUGUCCACCAUUGCCUUGGCCACUUUACUUUAAAUUGGGUAAAUUAAGGAGGUGUUGAGCUUCCUAGUUUAUACGUAAUAAUAAUGUGAUGAAUUUUUUUUAAUUAUUGGAUUGAGUUUUGUUUUGUGAGUGGCAGUAAAAUUGUUGUAUUGUUUUUACGAUCAUCAUCAGUGCAGAUUAUUUUGGUACAGUAGGCAUGUCCCCUUGUAGUAUCGAAUAAACAAUCUAUAAGUAACAGUUAUGGUGUAUUUUAUCAUACCAAUAUUUGUUGAUCCAAUAUAAAUAAUGAUGGUGAAUAAUUCUGCAAUAAUUCAUACCAAGCAUGUAAAGAUGAUAGUUUUACCAUCUCCAGUGAUACAAAAUAAAUAAAUAAAUAAAUUAAUCUUUCAUUAAGUUGAAACCUGGGUGAUAUACGUAUAAGUCCCACAGACCCAAUUUAAAUUUCCAUGCUUUAAAGCCUCUAAUUUUGGUGUUUCACAAAUCACACUGACAGUAAAUUCAUGAUGUAACAUUCAAGUCCAUUCAAUGGAAAGGGUGUAGGUUGUCGAAAGAUAAUCCCCACAUUGUCUCUAAAACAAACUUACUUAUUAUUCUUGUUCUAGAGUCUCUGCAACCAUUUGAGCAUACUUAGCCAAUUGAGUGAACUUCAAAGCAUACUGCUUCAUACUCAUAUUUUCUUGACGAAGGUUGAUAAAUUCAAGUAUUUUUAUCUCCCUCAUCUCAAGGAGAAAGAACAUAUCAAGGAAAACAGCUUUAAACAAAGUCCAAGAAGAUUAUUAACAUAACGAUCAUCAGGAGUACUUAGGUUUAAUAUGUCGCAUAUAAGGUAAUUCAUUUUCUUAGAAAACGAAAGAAAUUAUUUUAAAUCUCAAAGUGAUCAUAUAUGAACAAAAAAAAAAUAAUAUUUUACUCUCCUUAACAUUGCUAUACAUUUCUAGCUACUACGAUAUUAAAACGAUUCCAAUUGUUCCCCUGUUUCGAUGAACUAACCAUUUAAUUUGUAUUCACUUUAUUUUUCAGAAGUCAAUAUUCACCAAAGCGAGAUGGUAUCGUUGCUUGAUUUAGACUCUGUAUAGUGCUCUCUAUGAUCAUCUAGAGUUUCAAAUUGUUGGUGAAUCUAUUCUUUAUCAUGUCCACAAUGAUCAGAGAGUCUAAUUCCAUCCAAAUGUUUGCCAAUUGGCUCCAUACAUUGUUGUUUUUGCCUCGGCCUCAGUGUUGCUACUGCAACAGAGAAUGCAUAACUUACAUCGCCACUAUCAUUCCUUAGAAUUUUACAAAACAACUAUGAACGUAUUUCUCAGUAACGUUUUAGGUUAAAAAAAAUUUAAAAUAUUCAAUGACAAAGAGACAAAGAUAUGAUGGAGUAACGUUACUUGGAGUGAAUCUUAACCUUACUCCUCAAUCUUUUUUUCUUUUGCCAUUGAAUUUUUUUAAUAAAAUAUAACCUAAAAUGUUAUUUAAAAUGUUAUAUUAAUUUUGUAAAAUUUCAAAAAAAAAAAAAAAGCAUAUUAUUUUAUUAACGGCUUACUUUGGUAAAAAAAAUCCCAUUCCUUACCACACCACUAAUACGGCAGUUUACCUGCUCUUCCUAUGUCCUUUAAGAAACUUCCAUUAGUGUUGAUUUUGAUCACCUCAUUAAAACAUUUACUUCUCAGGAUAUGUUUUUAUCUACCAGUUCGGAUAAGUUAUCCCGCUAUUUAGCAACAAUUCGAAAUAGUUUAAUUCUAUAAAUGUUCUUUGGAUGCAUUCAUAUCUUUAUAUUUAUCAUUAUCAUAUUAUCUGGUAAGUAUCCUUGCCAUUAACUAAUCUAAACUAAAAUAUUAGCCCUUAAUUAAUUGGUAAUUCUUAAUAUAGUAGAGGAACUAUCAGCUGUAAAUCAAUUUCGUAAUUGUUGUAUAGAAAAAUAGCUAUAAGUCUCAUGUGCCGUAAUAUGAAAGGUUCAAGUCAAGUGUGUAUUGACUUUCAUUAAUUAUAUACUUUUUUUUAUUAUUUAGGGAGUUGAAUUAGCCCGCCUUCCACUUUUCUCCUUCGAGAUCUAAUUUCCUGCUCAUUUUUUUCUUGAUGGUCCAACCAACAUUAAAUUCCUACUUUGAUUUCCCACCACUCUUGCUAUAAUAGAAAGUCAUAAGUCAUAACCAAGCACCACGCAAGUUGAAAGUUUAGACCAAUUCAAAAUCCCUUCUCUUAUAUAUAGAGAAUCAUAUUGCUAGCUAUAUAUAGACAUCUCAUCCUUAAUUCCCUACAAACUAGCAAUUACCAAUAAAGUGCAAAAAAUAACGUUACCAAAAAAUAAAGACAUGGACAAAAUGUUGUACAUGAUCGUCUUUAGUGCUUUAGUCAUCGGAAAUAUGGUGCAAGACACGACAGCACAAACGGUGCAUGUGGUAGGGGACAGCAUGGGUUGGAUCGUACCAAGCAAUGGUGCGGUAGCUUACACAAAUUGGACUGCUGGAAAAACAUUCAGAGUUGGCGAUACUCUAGGUAUAUACAUUUAAUUAAUUUAUUAAUUUUCAUUAGAUUAUAUCCUUCAAAUUAAACUAAUUAAUGUUUCUUAUUUUAAUUUUGACAGUGUUCAACUUUGCGACUGACCGACAUGACGUGCUACAAGUAGAAGAAACUUCGUUCGAUGGAUGCAAUUCGCAGAAUGCAAUAGGCACUGCCAUAAUGACAGGACCAGCAAAUAUAACUCUUAAUUCUACUGAUGAUCACUAUUUCAUUUGUACUUUUGGCACACACUGCCAAGGUGGACAGAAAUUAGAAAUUUCAGUUUCCGACGACAGCACUAGUACUCCAGGUACCAACCCACCUACACCAUCUGUUGAUGGACCUACAGGUUCCGUUCCCGGUGGUGUCGUUCCUCCUCCUCCGCCUUCGUCCUCAACGACCGUAUUGGCCAGCUUUGUGCUCAGUCUAUCCGCAAUUGCCUUGGCCAUUUUUCAUUAAAUUGGACCAUUUAAGUAUGUUUUGAGAUUCUUAUAGUUUAUAUAUACGUACUACGAUGUAACCAUACUAGAUUGUAUCGGAUUCAGUUUUGUUUUAAUUGAUGAUUGUAUUUGGGAUAUUUUAUGAGUUAAAGGUUAAAUAUAGGUAGUUUCUUUGCUAUCAUACAUCUAAUGGCCCAAACGUCAUCCCUGACUAAAGUGACAUGAUUGAAUCCUAAUUGCUAAUUGAGUAAAACCCUUUGCAAAAACUUUUGCAACGUAACUACGUGCGUAACAUAACUAUUCUCAAAUUAAGGUCAACGAAACUAUAAAUGUAACGUUGAUUGAGGGUUGAAAAUUGCAAUUAGCUAGCCUACCUCCCGAUUUAAUUUGUUCAAUUUAAUUGAUUCGUUUCUUUGAAAACCAACAAUUUGAUGUGUAGUAUAAUGAAAUUUCAUAUACGAACGUUGUGAUACAUAUCUACGCUUAACUACUCCCACCAUCUCAAUUUGCAUUUUAAUUUGUAUAUGUUUGAUGAGAAAAACUUUACAAUAUAUUCCAGACAAGCAUUAUAUAUUUUAACUUUCUAACACAAAAGACAUUUCUAACUAACAUAAUAGUAUGUUUUAAAAAAUUAAAUGUAUAUUCCCAUAUGUAAAAGAACUGAUACUAAUAGACUUAAUUAAUCGCAAAAGUUAUAGCUUAUUUAAGGAGAUAACAAUUCAUUCCCUCAAUUAACGAGGAGCACUCUAACAACUCUAUGACAUAUAUUUGGACAUAUGUAAUGUGAAUAACUUAAUAUGUGAAGUCCACAUUACAAACACAACAAAAAGCUUUAUGUCUACCGUCAUUGAUAUCAUGUUAAGAAGAAUACUUUUUUCACUUCAAAUAAUAAAAGUAGGCCACGAGGUUAAAAGAUUUUGAUGACUAAAUAUUAAAAUGACAAUACGAUCUCGAUCUCAACACAUGAGAACUAUUUAUUUUUAUUAUUUUUUUAUAAAACAAAAGUGAAAUAUUCUAACAAUUUAAUUUCCUGGGUACAUGUCUCAGUAUGGUCCAUUCAUUGGUGUCCCUUUAUUUACUCUAUACUUGGAUUUUGUGGUCGCAUUUGUAUACGUAUUGUAUUUCAAAAUACGAAAAGCUAUUAAAUGUCUUUUACUUUAGAAAAUUUUAAAAUCCACAAUAGUGGCUCAUUGACUAUAUAUAGUCGUAAAUUACGUACAUGCACGGCAUUUUGUACGUAGAGUACUUUGACGCCAACAACUUUAAUAAAUCAUGUUCUCCUUUCGAUCCAUUUUUACCUGUUAUAUUUUUCUUUGUACGUCUUUUGAAAAUUUAUUGAAGAGAAAAUUAAAUUGUCUAAAUUAUCUUAUUUACUUUUUUAUCUCAUCAAUUCAAAAUUACUUUUUUUUCCCGCCAUAUGAAUUAAUCUCCCUCCACAUUUAUUGAGCAAUGAUGAAAAUGACAACAAAUGUUUAAUAUUACUAUAAUUUUCAAAAAUGAUUUAACCAACUAUUUUUAGUAUGCAAGACAAUUAAAAUGGACUAGAGGUAGUAUUAUAGUAAUUGACAACUAAAAAUAUUUAAAAGAUAUAUGAAAAUGUUACGAUAAAAAAAACAUAACUGAUUUAAAUCUCAAAAAAUUCAAAAGCUAUCAUGGAAUGUAGUGAGUAUAUUUUAAACAGUAGUAAUUGAUGAUGUAAAUAUCUUUAUAUUAUCACACUCUGGAACCUAAAAUUGAUGCAAUUUCUAGAUUUGGAAAAGGACCAUUUCUAGAACAGACAAUACAAAAGCCGUAAGUCUUAAUCAUAGUGUGCAGUUUCACACUGCAUAGUCAUAUCUUUGAAAAUAUGACAUAGCAAAGUGAAUGGAGUUGCCAUAUUUCGAAAGAAACUUUAUUUGAAAUUUUUGGUUCAUUGACCAGUAGUUCAAGCAACAACGUAACAUUAUUUUUCUCCGUUUCAAAAUUUCGUAUACAUAUUCAUUUCAUCAAUAAUGUAUUUGACCCGGCAAUAGAAUCAAUUGUGUAAAAGCUUAAAACUUUCAUAUGGGUAUCAUAUUGUUUAGAAAAAUUAUGGAGGACAAAAAAGUAGAUUGAGGGUUGAGGUCAGUGACGUACACAAGAUUUUUUAUAAGCAGCGUUACCUUUUAAAAUAAAAUAAAAAAGCAGUAUACUACUAUACCUUUUUUAAAACAUAAAAAAAUAUUAUAAUUUUUUCUCAAUGAAUUUUCUUUUUUCUAAAUGUAUUACUUCCAAGCCUUACCCAACCAAGCUACGUACAACUUUGGUUACAAGUGUCACUUAAAGAAUAUACACUCUACGUUUGCUUCUACUUCUUAAUUAUUUGUAUAUACUUAUACCUAUUUAGUAUAUUAUUUUUUUCAACGAAGUGGCCUUCUUAAAUCUGCCCCUGCUUUAGGCGUGUUACAGACGCUCAGCAGUCAACAUUCCCAAUUAGUGUGGAGGUAUUUGUUUGAACACGAAAUUUAAGAGAGAAGAAAAUGUUAUGGCCUAAAUAAAAAAGGAACACUCUAUUAAUAAGGUGACAUUUUACUGAAGUAAGAAAUAUUCGUAUGUCUCUAAUUACUUGUUCACUUUUGAAUUGGCAUACCUAUUAAGAAAAUAAUUAAUGACAUAGUGAAUUUACCUUUUUACCCCUAUUAAUUAUGAAGUGGAUGAAAAGUUCUACAUUUUUAAAAGUAAUUAGUCAUUUAAUUCAGGGUAUAAUAGGUAAAAAAAAUUGUCCUUUCUUGAUUUGUCAAAAUGGACAAGUAAUUAGGGACAGAGGGAGUACUUGAUACUUAUUAGAGCAACUUUCACAUAUAACAAACAUAAAAUUCAUAUUUGUAUGUUAUAGCAAAGUUUGCAUAAUUGCGCUCCAUAGCAAACAUAAAUAUGUAUAUUUCGCUAUACAUAUACAAAAGAAAGCAGUUGUAUAAUCUGCUUUGGUAUACAUAUACAAAAAGAUCAAUUGUAUAAAGUGAGAGAGGCGAGCGAGAUCUGGGAGAGGGGAACGAAAAUAUAUGUAUAUAUACAAUUUUCACGCAUUUUAUACAUUUGCGUUUUUGUAUAAAGUGAGAGAGGCGAGUGAGAGAGCGAGAUCUGGGAGAGUGGCGAGCGAGAUCUGGGAGAGAGGUGAGAGGGGAACGAAAAUAUAUGAAUAUAUACAAUUUUCUCUCGCUUUAUACAAACACAAACACACUUUAUACACUUGCGUUUGUAUAAAAAACGAGAGAGGCGAGGGAGAGAACGAGANNNNNNNNNNNNNNNNNNNNNNNNNNNNNNNNNNNNNNNNNNNNNNNNNNNNNNNNNNNNNNNNNNNNNNNNNNNNNNNNNNNNNNNNNNNNNNNNNNNNNNNNNNNNNNNNNNNNNNNNNNNNNNNAUUUGAAUUAAUAGUUUGCUAUUAUAUACAAUUUUCCCUACUUAUUACCUCCGUUUCAAAAGGAAUAAACCUAGUUUCCUUUUUAGUCUGUUUCAAAAAGAAUUAUCUCUUUCUUUUUUUGGCAACACUUUAACUUCAACUUUCCACGUGACAUGUUUAAGACCACAAGAUUAAAGGAUAUUUUAGUACAUUUGACAUAACUUUAAUUUAGAACCACAAAAUUAAAAAAUCCUUUUUCUUUUCUUAAACUUUGUUUCAAGUCAAAGGAGAUUAUUCUUUUUUAAACGGAGGGAGUGGUAAUUUAGAGAAAAGCUUAGCGUUGGAGUAUGAUUAGGUUAAGAAGUCAGUGGACUAAAUAAUCAUUCUUUUUUUCAAAUUAUACAACUUUUGAUUAGCUGAAUUAGCCAAAUUUUGGAACUUUAAUUUCCACUUUGCAAUUAAUCCAGUCCACCGGCCUAUUGAAGAUGAAAGAUCCAACAAUUGUCUAUCCUUGUAUUGUUAGGUUUCAGACGACUUUUGCUUUUUAAAAAAUCACAUCAAUUCUACGUCUGUCGGUUUAUUAAAUCUGUAAUAAAGCAAAUCAGACUAAUAUAAAGUUGAUUUCUGAUUAGUGAUUAUGAUAGAUUCCUUUUAAUUUUCUCGAUACUUUAUGAUUUAAAUCAAUUAUAUAUUUGUCUAUUUCACAUGGAUAAUAAUUAGACACGAGCCAAAAAUAGAAUUAGUAACAAAGUGUGGAUGCCUAAUGUUGAAAUAGAAGGAGAUAAAUUGGCUUCUUAAUUUGUCUUGUAGAGUUGAGUAGGAGACGAUGUUGUGUUGAAGUAAGUGAUUAUCUCAUAUUAAAAUUUAAGUAACAGAUAACACAUUUUAUUUACUUAUCUAUUACCUUCAACAUGGUUUAAAUCAUAAUGAGAUUCUCCUCCCCCGCCCACAUUCUUAUUAAUUUGAUAACAUGUUAAAAUAUGUAACGACUAUCCCAUCUAAAAGUUUAAGUCGUCAGAGAAAAUAAUAUUAUUUUCAAUAUGCUGAAUCCAUAUGAAAAUUGUAAAAUAUAAACUGUGUUAGAACUAACCCAAGACAUUAGGAAGAAGGGAAAAUUGUAUAUAAUAGCAAACUAUUAAUUCAAAUNNNNNNNNNNNNNNNNNNNNNNNNNNNNNNNNNNNNNNNNNNNNNNNNNNNNNNNNNNNNNNNNNNNNNNNNNNNNNNNNNNNNNNNNNNNNNNNNNNNNNNNNNNNNNNNNNNNNNNNNNNNNNNNNNNNNNNNNNNNNNNNNNNNNNNNNNNNNNNNNNNNNNNNNNNNNNNNNNNNNNNNNNNNNNNNNNNNNNNNNNNNNNNNNNNNNNNNNNNNNNNNNNNNNNNNNNNNNNNNNNNNNNNNNNNNNNNNNNNNNNNNNNNNNNNNNNNNNNNNNNNNNNNNNNNNNNNNNNNNNNNNNNNNNNNNNNNNNNNNNNNNNNNNNNNNNNNNNNNNNNNNNNNNNNNNNNNNNNNNNNNNNNNNNNNNNNNNNNNNNNNNNNNNNNNNNNNNNNNNNNNNNNNNNNNNNNNNNNNNNNNNNNNNNNNNNNNNNNNNNNNNNNNNNNNNNNNNNNNNNNNNNNNNNNNNNNNNNNNNNNNNNNNNNNNNNNNNNNNNNNNNNNNNNNNNNNNNNNNNNNNNNNNNNNNNNNNNNNNNNNNNNNNNNNNNNNNNNNNNNNNNNNNNNNNNNNNNNNNNNNNNNNNNNNNNNNNNNNNNNNNNNNNNNNNNNNNNNNNNNNNNNNNNNNNNNNNNNNNNNNNNNNNNNNNNNNNNNNNNNNNNNNNNNNNNNNNNNNNNNNNNNNNNNNNNNNNNNNNNNNNNNNNNNNNNNNNNNNNNNNNNNNNNNNNNNNNNNNNNNNNNNNNNNNNNNNNNNNNNNNNNNNNNNNNNNNNNNNNNNNNNNNNNNNNNNNNNNNNNNNNNNNNNNNNNNNNNNNNNNNNNNNNNNNNNNNNNNNNNNNNNNNNNNNNNNNNNNNNNNNNNNNNNNNNNNNNNNNNNNNNNNNNNNNNNNNNNNNNNNNNNNNAUGAAAACUUUUUAUAGAAUACAAAUAUGAAUUUUGUGUUUGCUAUAUGUGAAAAUUGCUCGAAGAAGAACUCUCAAUAUAAUGGUUGGGCUUGAUCAGUUGGACCUAUUGUUAUUGGACUGGGUCUAAACAAUAAAAGAAAAUUAUGAAAAAAAGAAAAAUACACACAAAAUAUACAAAAACUAUGAUAUAUAUACCCCAAAAAAACUAAUGUAAUGCGUUGAUUAUUUAAAGAGCAAAAUAUUUAUUCGGGAUUGAGGGGGGGUUGGGAUACAACAUGAAAAAAGAUUGGUAAAUGUAACGUUGGCAGAAGAUAAUGUGGCCUUUAAUACUGCAAAAUUAUGGGUCUUCAUACAAAUGUGUAACACAUGGAUUAUUUUUAUUAUCCUUUUGAUUUUUGAAGAAAUGAGAUAUUUUGUUUUCUUACCAUUUAAACAAAAGAAAAUAAUCUUUUCAAAUCUCUUAUGUGCAAAAAUAAAAAUUUCUUCAAGAAGACGAGAUUAACCCAAAUCAAAAGAUAUUAGAACAAAAAUAACUCAUAAUUGUUGGGAUCAUAGUGCAAUGUCCUAAUUAAAUGUCCAGUGGCAUGAUUAAAAUUCAAAGUCGAUGACAUUAAGGUAUGUCCUCCAUCACAAUCUCGAAUGAAACCUUUUUAUGGAAUCGUGCACCAUGGUAUAUAAAAAGAUAUAUAAAAUUAAAAAAAUAAUUUCUUUCUUUCUUUUAUUAUUCAAUUAUUUUAAUAUGUACUUUCCUCCCAUUCACUUGGAUCAAUACAAGGCAAUAUGUAGCCAGGUAGGAUUCAAACUAAUUAUUGAAUCUCUUUUUAAAUUUUUUAAAAAGAAAUUAUAAAUGAAAGAGGGUCGGUCCUCAGUCCUCACUAACUUGUUAAAGUAUUGGCUAAUAUAAAUUGCUUUAAUUAGAUGAUCCAUUUAAUUAUAGCAUACUUUAGGUUAAAAAGUUGGAUUUGAUUAAAGGUGUGGGCCGUGUGUUAUCUGGCAAGUGACAACUAUCCAGACAUAAGAAUCAUAAUAUGAUCCCCCUAUUCAUCAAAGCGACAAAACAGAAUUAUAUGACUUAAGAAGUAAAUGAAAUAACAGAAAUAUUCGAAUUUGAGUUUAUUCAACUUUUUGACAUGUGAAUCAUGCUAGUAUACUAAUAUAAGAUUUAAAUUCAUUAUUUUACUAGUCUCAUUAAAUUUACUAAUUUACCAAGUAUGUUGUAAAUAUUUUAAGUAUAUAGUGAAAUGCGAAUUCAUCAACAAAUUUUAUAAUUUGAGUCUAUUUUACAGACUCACUAAACAUGUUGUUAUGUCUCACUACCUCACUAAUGAAUUGUCCCUUUUGAUUAAAACAAAAAUUGAGUAGCUCUCAAUAUAUUUUAGAGGUAAAAUGUGACAUUUUUAAUUCCGAACUCGAAAAACUUGAAGAUGGUGGAGAGAAGAAGGUGAAAACUGUGGAAAAUAAGGUUUUGUUUUUAUAGAUUUGGGUGAAAGGGCAAAAUGAUUCUAGCAUACCCAUUUAAAGGUCCACUAUGACAAGGAAAGAAUGAAAAGGAUACUGCAAUAAUUGAUUGAACUAAUUUUAACGUUUCUUUGCGGUUGAUUGGUUUUAAGACAAGUCAUUUAUUAUUGCCAACAUCAAUCUGAACCAUAUACAAUACACUAAAAGGGGUAAUAAUAAUCCUAAUACAAUUUUUUUGCCUUAAAAAAAUUAUUACUAUAAUGCGAAUAAUAUUAUCAACUUAAAAUUACUUUUUAUAGAUAAACAUAUCUUUUUUUCAUUAUUAAUCAUGGUAAAAUAAUUGACUCGUUUUUAUUACAUCAUAAUAAUCCUUUCAUUAUAAUCAAAGCAUAAUAAACAAACAACCCAACUUCAUAACUUCAGCGUCAAAUAUCGUGAUCAUCCAGAAAUUAACAAGCGUUACUGGGAGAGUUACAAUGGACACCACAAGGUUGCACCAAAUUAACGAGUGGAAGAAUCGCCAUACGUAAAACAAAUAUGGAAUAUGUGGCUGCAUAUUAUGCUUAUCGCCUAUGGGAUUAACAAAAGAAUUCAAAGCCAAAUAAAUUUAAAAUGAAAAUAACCUUCACUUUUGCUAUCUUUACAGUUUCCAUUUUUUCCUAAUCUGCAUUAUCUAUAGGAUAAUUAUUAUUCCACUACUAUAAUCAGAGGCCAACGUCAUAUAUUUGCCACGAAUUCAAUAUUUAAGUAAAAUCCAAAAAGGGCAAAUAGGCGAACUUGUAUCAAAGGUGUGUUUUUUUAGUAAUUAAGAAAGUGGAUUAAGAACGGAGAAUUCAAAUUUCAUAGAGAAAAAAUUACUAGAUGAAUUUCUCGUACUUUUAAGCUUUGAUGAACAAAAUUAGUUGAUACUUAUUGUUGUUAGAAGGUUGAUGAUAAAUAUCUCGUGAAAAAAAAACAUCAAUGUUUUUCAGUAACAAUAUUUUUUGUUCCGAUAGCUGAUACAGCAAAACAAUGUUAUACUAUAAAGACAACGCUAAAAAUUGAGAAUAAUUCCAGAUUCUUUUCUCUAAUAAUGGCCAAAUUAUUAUACUUUGAUUCAGUUAGUAGGAUUCCGUAUUUAACAUUAAAGACAAAAAGGAACAGAUUAAUUUUACAAAAAGUUCAAAACUAUACACCAAAUAUAUAUAGAAUUUAAAACUCUUUUAUAGAAAAAAUUAAGAAGAAAAAUUGAGAUCAUCGGAGAUAAUUGGGUCGGCAUCGACCCGAUUAUCAGAAAAAUCAUCAACUUGGAUUUGAUCAAGCACGAGAACUAAUCCCAUGGCGAAGGCACUAUCAAACCCGGGUUUUAUUGAGAGAGAGAAAACGUCUUUUCCAAGCACCACAUGAGCACAAGCAUCCACUUUGCGUCGAAUCUCAGCCACAGAUACCUUGUCGGCGUUGAAGAAUGUGCAAUUUCUCUGUGCGAAUGAUCCUUCGAUCUGAUAUUCCUCCGUCGGAUUGCUGUAUACCUCCACUGUAACGUUAGAUCUUCCAAUUAUUGAAGAUCUACGUACGCUGAAUAUCGGUUUUUUCCCCUCUUCUCCUUCCCCUAAAUAGCCUUCCCACCUAUUAUGCAAACUCGGUCUCUGUUUUCAAAAAUUGCACCGAAAUCAGAAAUUGCUAUAACUGAGUAAACUCGGUUUACCCUUAAUCGCAAAAUCAUAAAAAGUAUUAUUGAGCUAGUGAGUUUAUACCUUACGGCGGACAGUGAGAAGGCAUCUGCCGGUAGCGUCCAUGAGAACGAGUUCACCCAGGUCACGAGAAUCGGGACCGUACGUGUCAACUCGGAAAACUAGCUGGCCUUUGCAGUCGUAGGCAGUGAAUCCAUCGCCGGUAAAGAAAAGAGAAGUUUUCCGAACAGUAAGAUUCGUCUCUUCACUGUGAACAAAUGUAUCUUCAACAACAACUUUACUCUUCAUUUUCUUUUUGAUUUUUGCUUCAAAUCUGACUUUGAAAAGGAAACUAAAAAAGUCUUUAAUUUUCUGAGAAAUCAAAGAAAUGAAAUGUGAUAUUUAUGAAGUGAAGAAGCCAAAAGGAAGGUCUGAGAAAGAGGUACAAAAAUCGCCAGAGACAUGUGGUGUGCAUUUAUUAGUAAAGUGACUGUAUUUAUUACUCCGUUCCUAAUUACUUACUCACUUUUGAAUUGAUACCCCUAUUAAGAAAAUAAUAAUUAACAUAAUCAGUUUACUAUUUUACCCCUAUUAAUUAUGAAGUGGGUGAAUUAAAAACAUAAGAUUUUCAAAAAGUUUUAUCUUUUUCAAAAUAAUUAAUUGAGGAUAUGAUAGGUAAAAAAAAUUAAUUUUUCUUAAUUUGUCAAAAUAAACAAGUAAUUAAGGACAAUGAAAAUAUCUAUGAAGUAAUAUUAAUUAUUGUAAUAUCACGCAUACAGCAAGUAGAGUAAUAUUAAUUUUUUAAUUAACUUAAUUAAAUUUUGCAUGUUGCAUUAUAAUACUAAAUUUAGUGGAGUAAUAUUUUUAAGCACGUAUAUGGGAACCAAAUAUUGUGGAGAUCACAAAUAGCCAAUUGUUUUAUACAAUUCGAAUCUCUAAUGUAAUCGGAAGAUACUAAUAAUUUUGAAAUAAAAUAAAAAAUUAUUUUAUCUCAUGCUUAAUUAGAGAUAUUAAAUAAUUUUUGAACUAUUUAUCUCACUAUUUUUGUGAAAAUGGUGACUGAUAAAAUAAAUUAUUUCAUAUCUAUGAUGAAAUUACUUAUAUACCGUGAAAUAAUUAAUUCUCAAAUAAUUGUUUUCUAAACAAUCGACUCCUUAUCAUUAUCCUCACAAGAGGUCCCAUCUAAAUACUAGUACUAUAAAAUACGUUCACAUUAAUUAAAUAUACUUACACAUACUCUAGAAGACACGUAUAGAAAAUAUAAUCGUCUGGGUCCGAAUAACUUUUUUCGUAACAACUUCAUGUAGCUCGUACUUGUGGGGAUAAUAGGAAUAGUUUGAUUAUAUUUUAUCGUUAAAAUGAAAAUUUGAAAUUUUGUUUGAUCAUUAGUAUAAAUUAAAGUUAUUUUUAACUUUUUAUGAAUAAUUGGAGUAAAAAAGUUCAAACAUAUCUUCGAAGUUUAGUAGGACUCUUUUAACACCAUGUUGAUAUGAAUUGAUGUAUAAUUUUAAUUAGUCUAGAAAAUGAUUUAGGAUUUUCUUGAUAUAAUAAAAUAAGGAAAAAAAAACAAUUGUAUUUCAAUGAUAUAUUAAAAGUAAUAAAUAAAAAUAAAAAUCUAAUUUUAUAGUAGUAGUAAAUAAACAAAAGUGAAUGAAAGGAGCAAUUUUUAAGAGAUGUCUUCAUAAAUUUGAAAAAAAAGAAGAGAGAGUACUUAAUCGAUUAAAUAAAAUAAAUCUUUAUAAUUUAUGUUAUUAAAGUCAGAUAAGGAGCCUAAAUCAAAGACAUUUAUGGAAACUAACUUACCUACUUAAGGAAAUACAAUGCGGUUAGCUGAAGAAUUUCCCAUCACACAUGACCAUAAUUUUUUCGAUGUUCGUAAACUGAUUGAAGUUUUGAUUAAAUUUAGACGAUUACAAUAGUCCAUUUAGAAAUAAUACUUCUAACAAAAAAAAUUCCAUGAUUAAAACUGAAAUUCGUAACUUCUAAUUAAGGGAAAAGCAAUCCUAUCACUAACCAUAAUCUAUUUACUCAGGUUUCAUUAUCAAUUCUAAACCUACUGUAUGAAGUAAAGAUUUUACUAUCGUUGGAAUAUCUAAGAUAAGAAGAUAUAUAUAAAAAAAAAGAAAUAGUGGAUAUUGUAGUUUACUGAACACAUCUAUAAUAAAUAGACAUGUGUCAUAUAUAUAUGACCAAUGCAGUGUUCAAAAAUAUAAACAUAAAUAUCCUGUAUACGAUAAAUAUAUCUAUGUUGGGAAUGAUCACACACUUUUAAAAUUGUGUAUAUUUAAGACAAAAUGAAAAUGACGCUGAUUUCCAACAACUUAAGAAUUUUAAUUAAUUGAAUUGGCAACCAAGAGAGCGACGCAUUGCAUGCAAAUGCAGGUGUCACUAUUUAUUUUUUAUGAAAUUGUACAUAAAUAAUACUCUUUCCGUUCUAUGUUAGAUGAAUACUUUCUUUUAUACUGUGAUUAAGAAAUCAUUAAUACUCUCUCUGUCUCUAAUUACUUGUCCAUUUUUUAAUUGACACACUUAUUAAGAAAAUAAUUAAUGACAUAGUGAGUUUACCAUUUUACCCCUAUUAAUUAUGAAGUGGAUGAAAAGUUCUAUAUUUUUCAAAAUAAUUAGUCAUUUAAUUGAGAGUAUAAUAGGUAAAAAAAAUUGUCCUUUCUUGAUCUGUCAAAAUAGACAAGUAAUUAGGGACAACUAUAAAAGGAAAAGUAGACAAGUAAUUAGGGAUAUAGGGAGUAUAUUGACCAACUUUAUUAUUUUGUCCUUUGUUCAUAUUAAUUAACCUCUUGAAAAAAAAUGGACCUUUAAAAUUUGUUUAAACUUCUAAAGGUCAGAACAUAUUAAUUGUAGGGGGUAAAACGAGAAAAAAAAUUAAUUAAUUUCAUCCUGAUAUAUUAAGUGAUCAAAUAAUACUCUCUUUGUCCAAUAAUAAUUCUCCACUAGUGACUUGGCACACCCCAUAAGAAACUAUAAAUAGAAGGCUAAUUUACUAUAUCCUUUGAAUAUAAUAAAUACAUUGUCUUGAAAAACGUAAUAGAAAAAUGACUAUAAUUAAUGAUAAGAAUAAAAUAGGAACUGAGUGUAAAAUUAUUCAUUAAUUUUAUAAAGUAGACAAAUAUUAUUGAAAAUCCCAAAAUAAUCUAAUAGACAAUUAUUGUUAAACGAAGAAAAUAAUAUGGGACAAAUAAAUUUAGUAAGAUGUCCAUCUAACAUAAGACAUUUUUUAAAAACUUUUUCUAUAGCAUUUAUUUUACGAAAAGUAAUAAACUGAUGUCAGUUGAGCUUUACAAAGGUUAUUAAGAGCUAUCCUACAUAGUGGCGAGUAAAAAUUUAUACCACUUCGAAUAAAUACAGGGAAGAAUUUAUUUCAUUAGGUGUAAUAAUACUUUCUUUGUCUCUAAUUAUCUGUUCAUUUUUUCUUUUUUAAUUGUUUCUAAUUAUUUGUUCAUUUUGAUAAAUCAAAAAAGGAUAAAAAUUUUUUUACCUAUUAUACCCUCAAUUAAUUACUUUGAAAAAGGUAGAACUUCUUGAAAGUCUUAAAUUUUUAAUUCAUCCACUUCAUAAUUAAUAAGAAUAAAAUGAUAAACUCACUAUGUCAAUAAUUAUUUUUUUAAUAUAUGUGUCAAUUUAAAAGUGAAUAAAUAAUUAGAAACAGAGGGAUAUAAUUUUUCACCAAAAUUACAUGACUUCUUUCGAGAAAUUUUAAUUUUUAACUAACUAAUCGCAGAACCAUACAAAAUUAAGGAUUCCUCUGAAAAAAUCAGACUUGUUCAGAAGGAGGAAAAUAUGUGUCCCUAAUAAGAGUUUACCAUAUUAAUUUCUUGGAUGAAUUUGAAUUGCGUGCCAAAUGAAAAAGCAUUGACACGUGUAAAAAAUACUCCCUCUAUUUUUUUUUACUAGUUCAAUUUUGACUUUUAACUUGUCAUUAUUUAAGAAUCAAUAAACACAAUAUUUUUAACUUAUUAUACUUUUAAUUUAUUAAGAGAGUUAAUGUUUUUAAAUAAAAUAAAAUAAUUAUUUUAAUUAUUGCUCGUUCAUGUCGAGUUUGAACAUUUACGACGGAGGGGGUAUCUAAUAACUACGGUGGGCGGUGGUAUUUAUUUAGAGUGAGUUUACUAACUCGGUUUUUUUGAGUUUAGAAAAAAUAUUUGUUUAAACUUUUUCCCCUUAAAUUUUUCAAACUAAAAAAUUAAUGCCGCAAUUAUAUCCUACGAUAGACUACGUACAGUUGACAAAAUUUCACCACUUAUGACAUUAAUAGUGAUAGUGAUAAAACUUAACUUGGUAUAUACAUUGUGAUUUUGUAUUAAUAUUCAAAUUUCAACUGUAACUAUUUGUAGAUUGCUCCAUUUUAAAGUGGGCAGACUUUUUCUACUUGGCGGUUGUGCUACUUUUCUUUGUUUUUUUUUUAGGUCAACCGACUAAUAAGAUUCGGAAAAUCUUAAAGAAAAGAAUAUAUGGUUGUAGUUGAGAAGCCAAUUUGAAAUGUGUGGAGCACCAAUCUGCGCGUUGCCCAAUUGACCCUCUAUGUUCGAAAUUUGGAAGUUUUCUCAAUUUUCUUUCAAAAUAUUAUAGUUCUAGUAUAUGUAAUUAACGCGGUAGGAAAUGCUGACAUUUAGCAAAUACACGUUAAUCAAGUAUCUGUGAAUUGACUUUUCAAAUGGUCAUUUAUAUGUAUUAUAGAAAGUAUUUUUUCCUUUUUUGAUAGAAUAUAUUUUUCUGAAAUAAUAAUUGUUAGAUGGUCAUUGAGAAAUCAACCCCUAUUAUUCAGACGUUUGGUUCUAUCAUUAUUAUUUUUAUGUGGUCUGGAUAUCUUAAAUUGGAAAUAUCGAUAAACAUAUUGGAAAGCUUCUUUUAAUGAAAGCGCAUAUGCAAAAUGUGCGCGGAAAGUAAUAAAAGAAAAAGUAGUCACAUAUGCUUUUUAAUUUGCCACUUUAUAAUUGGACAGACAUGGGAUUAGAUAUUUAUAAUGUUUUCGUGGAUAAUUAUUUGCGCCAUAUAGAAGUGAAGAAAAAAAGGAGGAACUUGUAGAACAUCAAUUCAGGGAGCAUUUUGCCAAAAGAAACAUCUCUUCUUAUAAUAAUUAUCCCAUGCCUUCACUUUUACUUAACCACUUUUAUUUGUUUGAUUAGGUAAAUUAAGAGAUAAUUUAAUAAUUUUUAUUUAUUAUUUAGUACAUUAUUCAUUUCUCAACAUCCAAAUAUAAAUAAGGAUGAUAUACUAAAAUUACAAUUUUAUGUCUUGCUUCUAAAAGAAUGUAUAAAGUAAACAUGAAUGGCGGAGUAGUAAACUUCUUAUACUUCCAACUCUAGAUCGAAAAUAAAAUGAAACCAGGUCAUUAAGAACUGAGUUGGAAAAUUAGAUGAUCAUUUGUCAAUAAUAAUACUGCUGAGCUGGAAUAUUUGUUCUCUUGAGCAAUAGAAUUGUAUGCCUAUCAACAAAUGGCCCCAAACAAGAAAAUUCUGUUCAGACUUGACCUAAAGCCCAGUAACUAAGAAAUGUGGACUCUGCAUGGUACUGGGCUGGGCCUAACAGGUGCUUGCUUGAACACAUGCCCAAUCAUAAACUGGGUUAGCUUGGGCUGAUCCAGCUUUUCAUUCACUAAACCCAGCCUUAAAAAUCCAAGAGUACUCUCUUUCAAUCUCCACAUGAAAAGUAAUAGCUCAAGCUAUAUCUUAGAGUUUCACGUGUGAAAUUUGUAAGUCCAUAAUAAAGGUAUUUGUCAAUUAUAGCUAUUGAAAAAGAAAUGUGGCUUUUUAUGAAUUUUAUCCUCUACAACACUAUAAUCAUAGAAAAGAAAAGUAACACAAUUCCCAAAUGUUGCAAUAUUUAAAGGAAAUGACAACACGUUUCUCUUAAUGUUUUAAAUUUUUGUAAGUAUCAUCAAAUAGCGAAAUCCAGAUCCACAUAGCCUGUUGAGCAUGAGGUAUGGCUAGUAGAGCGUCAGGAUUUUCUUGAUUCAUUGUCAAUGUAAACAAAGGAACAAUGCAUGAUCAUUUAGUUUAAUAAAUCGAUCAAGGAAUAUUAUUUCUUGACUAGCACAGCCUUAAUUAUAUAGGAGUAUCAAAUGAAUCAAUUAUCAUUCCUGCAUCCAAGUCCACUGAUAUCCAAAAAGGUUCAAUGAAACAUAAAUUUAGCAAAUUUCGAUUAUAAUUUUAUAUUUUUCUGUCAAAGUUAUUUUUCAAAUUAUGGUGCAAAUUGCAUUAACUGUUUAGCUUGCAGCAACGCCCACAUUUAAUGCAGAAUCUUCAAAUGAUCCUUUACUGUUUGAACUUGUCGACAUCGACGUUGAUUGAUACAAACAGUUCUUUACAUGCAGAAACACUCAUUCAAUUUGACUGAUGUUAUUGAUAAACAAGAUUUUGAUUGGCUACUGUUUGGCUUUUGCUGUUAAUAGUACGUUGAAAAUAAAGUGACAUUUCCAUAAAGUUAAGUCAUUAAAAGCCGAAUCUUAAAACUUAAAUUCCAGAAUCAAAUUUUUACACACAUCAUUCAAACUUCCCAAAACAUUCAUUAGCUACUUCCCAUUGAUCCCUUCCCUAUGAUCAUAAGUUAAAAACGACAAAAAAAAAAAAAAAAAACUCUAAAUCUAAUUUACACGGUAUCUCAUUUGGCUCCGGUUUUGUUUUAGUGCUGAACUGGGUACCUGACUGCAGCGGCUAGCAGCCUUUGCUGUUCUAUCUGUAGCACGAAACUAUGAUCAUUGAUCAGAACUAUUUAAUGCUAAAGUUCAUUACAAUAACUUUUUAUAGAAACACAGGAGGAAUACUAUCUAACUUAUUAAUGCAUGUCGUACUUUCAUCAAUACAAAUAGUGUAAAGUAGCUAGGAUGAAAAUGUGUACGAUGUUUAAAUUAUUAGGAUUUGUUUGGUAGAGAAAUUUGAAAAGAAAAAAAAAACUUUUCAAAAAUGUUCUUUGUAGUGCAAAAGGCAAAAUUGUUAAAUUUCAAAAUUUAUGAUAGAACAUGAUUUUCGGAAUGUAAAAAAUAUUGGCGGCCAAAACGGUCAAUAAUUACCUGGAAAAGUUCAUGAAGUUUGUUCUUGAGAUAACAAUAUUCAUGCUCAAGCAACUCUAGAGCUCUCAAACAACUGAGAAAAAAAAGAGAAAAACAAUUAUUUUGUUUUCAGUUUUAGUGGUCCUAGUAUAUAGGCGAUUUAUUUUAUUUAAAAAUAAGAAAAAGUUAGUUACUUACCCAAGUCGGUUAUUCUGCUCGGAAGCAACGCGAAAGGCGACGCAGACGUUUCUGACGCGUUUUGCACCAAUGCUUGAACUGCUUCCUAUAAACUGAUUCAAAUGCACUCCCAUUUUCUUGUAGUCCGAAAACUCUCUAUCCAUCCUUUUUUUUUUCGCCAUAUUAUAAAAAGAGUACCACUCCAUCAGUAAAAGAUGAAAAGAAAAAGAAAAGAUAACAAACUCAGAGGUAUUAUAACCCAUAAAAAAAACUCGACUUUUUCCUCCUUUUAUUCCCACGCUUGAUAUAAAACAUGCCCACAAUAAAGUAGUACUCGUAAAAUCGCUUUUAUGAGUUCACCUCUUCGAAACAAUAAUAGACUAUUUUCAAUAGAAUUUCGACUAAAAAACACUCACAACAAGGAUCUGAGAUUUCGUAAGAGUUUUUCGGACUCCUGGAAGUAGAUGUUGACAACUUCGGAGACGAAAUUAGGAGAGGAUUCAUCUUGAAGCUGUUGCAGCUGCAAAAAUUGCUCGUCUAAUACUCCCUAUUUUAUUUUUUUACGUACAAAUAAAAAUCACAUUUAGCAUCUGUGCGAAAAAAACGAAAAUCUGAGAACUAAUAAUAGCAAAUUAUUAGGAACCUGGUGGAAGAGUAACGCGAGCAAGCGAUUCAUAUCACCUCGCAAGCGUUCGACGCCGAGGCCAAGCAUCCACAGAGGUAGACCCGUUUUGGCUGCUUUUUGUAAAUGAGGGAAUAGUAGUAUUAGAGAAGGAAAAGGAGAUAGAAUUAAAUUAGUCUCAGGCUUUUUUCCUAAAUAUGGGGGCGAAAGGAGAGUUGCUUUCGAGAGGAGUGUGUAUGUCGUUUCUUAUUUCAGGGUGUAAAAAUGGCAGUAAUUGCUUUAAUUUGUUUGCAGUCAAGUCAGGUGAGAGGUGAGAGCCGAGACUAUGCUUAUAAAGGAUCACCAUCUGGCGGUGAAUCUGACCCCACCUAUCCUAUGGACUCUCACUUUUACUUUCUUUUUUUUUGUUUUUUGUUUUAUUCGUUUACCUUUCUAAAUUGGCCCUAAAUAAUUUUAAAAAAUCAUGCUCUUCUCAUUUUAAUUUGUUUUUCAUAAAUAUGUCUGAAAAAUUAAAAUUGGAAGUGGAAAAAGUGAUUUUUUAAAAAUAGAUUGAAGAAAUAAGAUAAAGCUAAUUGAAACACUUAAUAUACUAUUUUGGUUAAGUUUUUCGAAACAAUAUUGCCAGUACUGUUUUAUGUUAUGUACUAUUUAUACAAGUUGUUUCUUUUUCUUUUUUAAAAAAAUGAGAAAAAGGAGAUUACAACAUGGUAAAUUGAACUCCUAUUAAUUAAAAAUAUAGUUUGACAAGCAUAAACUAGAAAUACUUAACUAGGGAUGAAAUGACAAAUUAAAGCUAUUUUUCAUUACAUGCAUUCUUAUUUUGUCCAUCCAGCAUGUUCGUUUUUUCAUAAUGCAAGUACCUAGUACAUUUUUUCCUUUCGGAAAAAAUGAAAACAGUGCGUACAUCUUUUCCCUUGUUAUUAUUUCUUCACAUGCUAACCAAAUGUUCCUUUUUUUAUACUUCAAAUUAAUUUACUUCCGUGCAUUUCAAUUUUAAUCAAGUGGAUACUCUCUUCUUUUUAAUCUAUAUGUCGUUUUACGUUUUUCAGUAAUUAAUUAAACAAAUCUUUGCAAUUAAAUUAAGUUAAAUGAAUUAAGCAAUAUAUAACAAUUGCAAAGUAAUGGGAUUGCGUAAUCGAGGUGAGUGUGGGGAAUAAUGUAGACCGGCGGGCCUACUCAGGAUGGUCUAUGUAUAUACAACAUACAGAGUGACUGCAGGAUUAGAGAGUGGCGCAGUCGUUUUUAUUUUUGGUGUUGGAGUUGCUUGGGCUAUACCUAUAUGGUGGGUUAUGUGGUCACCUGCAACUUGCUUGGAACCCCGUUAGAAGACGGAGUCAGAACUAAAAAUUUGGGGUUCUAAAUUUUAAGAUUCAAAUCAGUAACUUCAGUGUGAAAAGUAUUUUCAUAAUAUUUCUUCUCACUAAAUCGUUAAUUAAUUUUAUGAGAAGUAAACAAGUUAAUUUACAUUUAUAUUUAUAUAAUUUUCUAAUAUACAUAUAUGAUCAACGAAAAUGUUACUGAAUUCAUUCGCGAACCCUAGUUAACUUCGCCUCUGACCCAGUACUGAGUCAGUCUCCUCCUCCGCGUGCUGUCCGCUUUUGGUGUAAUGUGCGGCCUUCUUAAGCUUCCUCAAUCCUCUCUCUCCCUUUCACCCGACAACGCCCUGCACCUUCUGACUCUAAUAUCCAUCCCAUCUCCUUUUAUUUUACCACCUAGCACUUCCUCCUUUUAAUUACCUUGUCAUCACACUUUAUACUAGUUAGUCUGGUUUAUUACUAAAUACUCCCUCUGUCCCAAUUUAUAUGACUCACUUUCCUUUUUAGUCAGUCCCAAAAAGAAUGACACAUUUCUAUUUUAAGUAACAAUUUGCCUAUAAAAUGUCUUUUUUACCCUUAAUGAAAUGAUUUACAACCACACAAAUUUCUAUCAUUCAUUUUUUACCACAAGUUUUAAAAGUCUUUCCAUUUUUCUUAAAGUUUGUGCCAAAUCAAAGUACAUCAUAUAAAAUGGGACGGAGGGAGUAAUAAAUAGACAUAGUCUAUUAUUUUUAUAUACAAUUUUUAAGAUCUUAUAUAUGUUUAAUCAAAAUUUAUUUAUAAUUUACUUAUUAAUAGUAAAAAUGCCUAAGGUGAGAAUAUUUAUUUUAUUGGUUUUAUUUAUACGAGUCUCUAUGUUAAUUCUUUGUGGGACUGAAAAUGUCACUGUCUCACCCUUCUAGGCCAAAAUAGUGAAUUUUGAAGCUUUAUUCAUAGUAAACUCAGUGAUCGAAAGUUCUGUAACGUCAGUCAUACUAACUAUUUUUCGUUUUGAAUGAAUUGCCGUCACUUUUUUCACGUUUUGAAUAAAUUGUUUCUUUUAUUUUUGUGUAUGGUUAAUACUUUUUAGUCAGUCCCAAAAAGAAUGACACAUUUCUAUUUUAAGUAACAAUUUGCCUAUAAAAUGUCUUUUUUACCCUUAAUGAAAUGAUUUACAACCACACAAAUUUCUAUCAUUCAUUUUUUACCACAAGUUUUAAAAGUCUUUCCAUUUUUCUUAAAGUUUGUGCCAAAUCAAAGUACAUCAUAUAAAAUGGGACGGAGGGAGUAACAUAAUUAGUUUUAUACAUAUAUCUCAAGAGGAUAGUAUAUAGUAUACAAUUUAAUUAUACUUUGUGAAAUUAGAAAAAAAUAUUUUUGAUAACCAUCGAUUUUUAUAUAACAUAUCAAACUUAAAUGUCAAAAGAAAAAGUAACAAUAAAAAAGAGAUGUUAAAAACAAUAGGAAAAUAGAAUGUUAGGGAUAACAAAUUGAACAGUAACAAAUAUUACUCCUCGGUAUGUUCAUAAAUUAUUUUUCUUAAAAUAAAUAAAAAUUGUAAAGUUGAAUUAUAUAUUUAUACAAAAGAAGUACACUAUUGUUUAAUAAGAUAAUAAGGGUUGUUUGAUUGGAAACAAGUUAUCGCAAGAUGGAAUAACUAUCCAUCAUUAUGAUAUACAAAAUAGUAUGAUAAAUUAUUUCAAACAUGACAACAAAACAAGAUAUACAAAUUUUUUAUCCAUAAUUAUUUAUUACUCUAUCACUAUUUAUUUUUAUAUGUUGCGCCAAGAAUUAGUGAGCCUGCCUUUGUACACACUCACUCUACAUACUGCCAAAAUGUUAACCACACUGUAUACGACUGUGGUUUUUCACUUUUCAUCUGACUCCCAAUUUUGUCCUUAACGGAGUAACCUUUUUUCAUUUUUUAGAGUGCAAAAAGAGAGAAUUGUUUGUUUAUGCCACUACCUCCAUGCUCACCAGGUCUUGGAUUUUGGCCAAAGCAUUAACUUUCUGGUCACUGCUAAACAAUGCUACAGUCGCAAUGUUCUUCACUAUGUAACAGCUGAAGUGAAGAUGUGGCAAGCUGGCUCCUGCUCCCUGCUGGAAAGUUAUAUUAAGCAAAUUUAUUAAAUAAUGAAAAUUGGAAUCAUAUAAACUAAUUGAAAUGUGAUAGAAACUUAUGUUCGGUUUCAAUUCAAAUAUUUUAGUUUGAUUGAAUACGUAACUUAAGGUCAAAAUCUUAUUAAAGAGAUGGCGAGUAAUUCUUUAAAUUUUGUGGUACUAUUAUGUUUGUCAAAUAGAUGGCUGAAAUUAGAAUACUUAGGUACAAUCAACCUAAAAAUAAAAGUAAAAUACCUAAAUUGGAUUGGAGGAAAUAAUACUCAAGCUAGUUGUUACUCCAAUACUAGUAGGCUUAGUUUUUUAGCAAAUGCAAAUUCAUGAGAAAUUUAUAUUAUAUAACAUGAAAUUUGUUAGUGAAACGCAAAAAAAUAGAUUGUUACUAAAAUGCUAGAAAAGCUUUCUAACUUUUUCUUGUAAAAAAAUAAAUAUAUUUUUCUCUUAGUGAUUCAAUCAAUAUAUCUAUAAAAAUAAUCAAUCCAAAUUGUUUUUUUGUGAAAUUUUCAAUAAAGAAGUAGUAAUUUUUUUUAGUGGUGCAAGUUCUAUCCUUUUAUAAUGUGGUGAGUAGCUAAAAUUGACAAUUCUUUUUAAUUAUUAUUAAAACACCAUAAAAGUUUCGAUAACCGAACAAACAUUUCCCAUUCUUUAUCAUAUUUUUAUCCCAAACAUUCUAAAAAUUACUGCAUGCUUGGAAUUAAAAAUAUCAAACUUCCAUAGCUUGGGAGAUGAACCCUUACACAAAUAUUGAUAAGUUAAAAAAUACAACACUUUUGAAGACGCCCAUGUCCAAAAUGCUUCUCCAAUUUUUUAAUAUAAAUGCAUAAACUUCAUAAUCAUGCUUUAUGCUCCCGUGCUUAUUUACUGUGGCUGUUUCUCCAUUCAAAUUACAACUUUCUAAAUGUUUGCUAGUAGUAUUACUUCGUGGCGUCGUUUGGAUUGAUAUAAAAUUUAAUAGAAGAUAUUUUAAGGUAUUAUACAUAUAUAUGCCUUUUAAUUUGGUCUUAGCCAUAAUUUUUAUUCUCUCGAUUUUUGAUGUGUACAAGUGAAUACUUAAGUUUAUAUAAUAUUGAACAAUUAGACACAUGUGUUCUAUCUGACAUAAAAUACGUGGAAACAUGUAUCUACUUGUUUAAAUCAAUCUAAGUUCAGGUGUGCCCUACUUAUGAAAAUUUAAAGUUGGAAGACAUAAACAUCAAAUGAGGUCAAGUUAAAGGGUGCAAACAAAUUAUAGAUAUUUGUGUGUGGAGUAUAACUGAUUUAAUUGAUGAUAAAAAUCAAAUUGUUCUAAAUUAUGUGGGGUUACAUUUUUUGUGACCAAACUAAAAAAUGUGCCACAAAAAUUUAGACGGAAAGAGUAUAUUAUAAUUAUUGACAACUUAUGAUAUCUUUUGGCCUAGAAAUUCUAAAUGUAUACUUGAAAUUAAAACUUUAGGCAACUAGUCAAUAAUCUAAUAAUUCGUGCGCUUCCUAAAAGUUUAAUUAAUUAGGACACAAUUGCGUCCUCUUCAUGUCACGUUUGUGCUUCAAAAUAUUAGUGGCAUUGAUACAUUGCUCGAGAUCACAAUUAUUUUGCCUUUUUAUUGUCUGAUUAGCUCUUAUGAGUGCAAUAUAAUACAGAAUUCAAUAGAAAUGUAAUUAUUUGUCUACCUAUAUUCUAUAGUCAUCCAAGGUUACUCCAUAGUCUCAUAAUUUCAUUUGUGAGAAUGCGGGUAACUAAUUAUAGCGCUUUCGUUUUUUUUAAAUAAAUAAAUCAGAGUGAUAAAUUAAUGAUUAAAUUUUAAUGGGUCGUGAAGAGAAUGUCUGUUAAUUACAGUACAACUAUGGUGUUUAUUCCCUCGUAUUAUUUUUACUUGUCACUUAUUUCUAAAAUAAAUUUUUAUUUGUCACUUUUGAUAUAUCAAGAAAAGAUAAUAAUUUUUUUCCAUUAGCAUGAAACUUACUCUUUCCGUUCACUUUUACUUGUCAUUUUUCUCUAAUAUAGAUUUUCAUUUUUACUUGUCAUUUUUGACAUAUCAAGAGUGGAGUAAUAUUUUUCCAUGUUUACCUCAACAUUAAAUACUCUUUCUUCAAAUCAUUUUUCAAGACUUAAUACUAAACAUAAUUUAAUUAUGGAUUGUUUGAUAAAUACCUAUAUCAAUAAUCAUUUUCUUAAUGGGUGUGUCAAGUCAAAACGUGACAAAUAAAAGUGAAUAGAGGGCGUAUUUUUCAAAUCAUUUUCUCAGACAUCAUUUAAUAAAAGAUAUUUUAAUAAAAUACUUAUAUUAUUAAUUAUUUUUCUUAAUGGGUGUACCAGAUCAGACCGUGACAAGUAAAGCGAAUGAAGGGAAUAUAUUUUAAGAUUAGUGUAGUGCAAAGAUAAUUGAGACUAAGAAAAAAUUGUAUGUUUCCAACUUAGUCACUAUGAACAAAAGCAUAAUUUUAUGUUGAAUGAAGGUGUUUUUUUUUAUAAAGUGUUGGACUAUUUAACUAAUUUGAAGUUGCUUAAGUAACAAAAUGUUAUUGACUUGUUAGGUCGUUGUAUUCAAAUGGGGAUAGAUAAAAAAUCAUUCUAUUGGAUUGAUGUAUAUUAUGCUGGAGUAGGCAUGAAUAUAAAUUUAUUUAUUUUUGUCAUUUUAAUUAUCAAUUUAUUUAUUGUAAUUUGUGAUAUAUUCAUCAAAGGACUAUGGACUUGAUCGAUGUUCAUUUCUGAUCACUCUAAAUAUUCUUUUGAUUGAUAAUAUAUUUCACAAAAGAAGUGUACAAUUAUUUUUUUGUAAAAACGUAUCUAAUGUAAAUAGUUGAACAAAGAUGUCAUAAUCUAUAAUUUGAAACUUCUAUAAAUUUAUUUUUAUAAUGUAGAUGUGAGCUUAUAAGCUCAAUUGGUACCCACUACCCAACUUUGGAAUGUUACUCCGUAAAUAUAAACUUGAUUUUUUUAGUUGUAGUGUCAAAUAAUUUGUAUUCAUAAUUUGCAUCCUAUCGGUGAAUGUUAUCGUACAUGUAAAGCAAGAACCUUCAAAAAAUCUCAAAUAAUUCAAUUCAAAUUAAUUUUUCUUUUCGGAGAGGAUACAAUGACAUAUUUAGUUUUUUUCAAAAAAUAUUUUUUAUCAUCAUUCAAUCUUAUAUGAAAUAAUAGACUCGUCCAGAAAUCAAACAUAUCCCCUCCCAGGUUUUGUCAUUGUCGUUUGCCGACUAUUAUUAUAAUAUAUUGCGAUUUUCAUUAUAUACAAAGAAAUAACUCAUUUCGGGUUUCAAAGAAGAAACUCAUACCUAUACAUAUAGAAACUGUUCGGAGCAACAUGAUAAGAAAAAUAAAUUAUCAAUUUGAAAAUGUCAGAAAACAGAAUUUGUGAAUUUGUCGUUUGAUAUUUCUACAGUUUGAUGUGAAUUAUAUGUUUGACUGAAGUUUAAACAAAAAUGAAUGAACACGUAUAAAAUGUAAAUUAUCACGUACAAGUAUCACUUAAAUGGUUGUCCACUAUCUCUACCCUUCAAUCUCCUUAACAAGAGUUUGUCUUGCAAUUGAUUUAAAUGGGCCCAUCUUCCAAGUUGUUCUUCUUUUUGAUUGGAUGAAAUCAAUUGUUUGUAAAAUAGGCCCAACCCUCAUUCCAUUGACUCAUUAUAUGUUCCAACAACCGUUUUCAUACGUAAAGAUAUAUAUUAUUUAGACGGAUACAUUUUACGAAAAAGUAUAUUUUUCUCAUUGUUUGAGACUUGCUCACAUUUUAUGAUAAGUAUAUUUUUCUCAUUGUUUGGACUUGCUCACGUUUUAUGAAAAGUACUAUUAUAUUUUUUCUCAUUAUUUGGGAAAAGUACAUUUUUUCUCAUUGUUUGGGACUUGAGUUAUUUUGUAUCAUAAUAUAACAACAAACCUAGUGUAAUAUUGUGGGAUAUAAACUUACCAUUCCUCUUUGUUUCAUGUCCAUUUAUCAUUCACCCAUUUUCAUUUAUUCUCCCCCCGUAACAAGAGCUAACAAUUUGAAUGCAGCAAGGCUUCAGUGUUGCAAUAAGUUUUAUGGAGAAUCUAUAGGCAAAUGUAGCUUUCAUUCCAAGUAGUUACAAAAUGGAGGAGCAGAAGAAAGAAGCUUCACCCACGUAGUUACAGUAAUUAGUCACUCAAGAAUCUAAAUUUCUCGUGAUACAUAUUGUGUUUUCCCUAACUGUCAGCUAAUGCCAGCCUCUGUUUAUGAGUAUCAGUUGGCAACUUGACAUCAGUGGCCAAUCCAAUAGCUUGAAGAAAUCUUACGACAUACCAAGUCAUGUCAAGUUGCCACCAUUUUAAUCCAUGCCUAGCCGAAUACUCAAACGCAUGGUGGUUGUUAUGCCAACCUUCUCCAAAUGCAAGCAAUGCCACCCACCUAUAUUAUACAAAUUAUUUUGAUGAAGUCCCCAAAUAUGGACAAAAAGAAAAGAAGCAACAAGACAAAUAAAUUUAAACGUUUAUACACUAAAGUAUAAAACUAAACAAGCUUACCAGUUGUUCCUUGAUAAGUCACCAGUAUUCCACGCCUGAUUUCCCCAUACAUGGCAUGCUGAAUUUACUAGCCAAGUUAUGUGGUAUACCCACACAAUUCUCACCCCCUGCACACGCAGGGAAUUUAGCAAUUGAAUUUUCAGAAUCUCAUUGCACCAAAUGCAUAUAACCCAGAAUUUUGCCUAUGUUACUAUCAGAUAAUCAUCCAAGUACUAGUUUUAACUUUUUCAAGACUCUUGCAAGUUUGAUUUCGGAAAGUCAUUCUGAUCAAUUCUUGAAAGGUACUAGAAUUUAUCUUGGUUAACUAUUUCUUUCACCCUUCAAGGGCAGAACUAUCGUUGAACAUCAUUUAACUACUACAGUUAAUUACCAGUGAGAUCCAAAAGACAUGUUGUAUGGAACAGCAACAAAUUACACUUGAUUUUGUCCAGUAGUUCGUUAAGAAAACAAAAGACCCUACCAACAGAUAACACAGAAACUUUCUUCCACAAAAUUGGCUCACAACUUGAGUUAGGCAGGGGAAAGAUCCAAAACCAUUAGGAGAUUUGACACAUGAAGAAAACAGUAGUCUAAUGAGAGAUGCAACUGUAGUUUUCUUCCGCAAAAUUGGUUCACAACUUGCCAUUGGGAGAUUUGACACAUAAAGAAAAUACAAUACACAAAAUCGGGUCACAAACUAGGCUGGUGGACAUAUACAAACACAUUUGGAGAUUUUAACUGAUAACAAAGCUUGCUUAACAAUAUCUUAAAUACCCAAAAGACUAAAAAGAAAAACAAGCUUAUUCAAAUUGUAAAUUGUAUUUCCUCAUUUGUACACAUGAUAUCUCAAUCUUUAUGGUAGUGUUAUGUGAAAAAAUGUAAUUUUUAUCAACCAAUUUUCAUUUUAUCCCAAUUAAUAGUUUUCCCAAAAUGUUAAAAAGGGGAAAAUGAAAGCUUUCUCCAUGAAUGGAGUUGUGCAAACUAAGAAAAGCUCCACUUACCAUCCCCCAAACAAUGUAAGGAAAUCCUCCCAUUGCAUACAACAGAGCUGCAAGCGCGAUGGGAUGGAUCACAUAAGUAUCACGAAUGAACUGAUAGAAACCUUGCUUCUCCAAAUCCCCCACAUUGUUGGGCUUCCCACACUACACAUAAAUAGAACAUCAGUACUCAAGAAUUCCUUCCAUUUCAUAAGUAGGCAAAUAGAUUAUAGAAUGAAAAACUUACCCUCUCAGUAAGGGUGUUGGUAUCAAACAUCCAACUCAUAUGACUGAACCAAAAUCCUUCAUAAGGACUGUGAGGGUCUUUCUCUGAAUCACAAAACUGAUGGUGGUACCUAUGAGUACUCACCCAAUCAAUUGGAUGUCCCUACAAUCACACAUGACAUAGUAAAUUCAAAUGCCUAAUACAAGAAAAUAAGAAAGAAUACUUGUAGUGGGUUUAUUGAAUUACCUGAAGUGCUUGGGCACCACAAUAGGCAAAAAAGUACUCAAGCCAUUUGGGAAGUUUGAAGCUUCUAUGAGAGAGGUUUCUGUGAAAAGAAAGUGUAAUACCCAAAAGUCCAGUGAUUAUAUAUAACCCAAAUGCAAUCCCAAGAGCAGCGUAAUUGAAAGUAAAUGGUGCAAAUAGACAGAGCAAAUGCAUAGAAACCACCACCGCAGCUGAGGCCAUAUCCACUGAAUUCCAUUUCCUACCCCAAAGCACCUCCCUAGGCCGGGUCACCACUACAUCAGAAAGAAGAAUCCUCUUACAGUUCGAUUCUCUUUCGUUUUCUGACACGGGCUGCGUCACUGCUGCACUCACAAUUGGCAUUAGCAUUACUCUUCUGCUAAAUCUAACUUUUCCUUCCAGUCCAUAACAAUUCCACUUGUUAACCUCGCCAAUUUUUGUUGUUAUUGAAGUAUAAGACAAGGAAUUUACAUUUUUGGUUGUUUGAGCAGGGAAAGUGCUUCUCCCCGGCCUGUGAACUGCUUGGGGAAGCGGCGAAAAUGGGUAAGGCUUGGACUUAGAGGGCGGUGGUGAUAAGAGGGCCAUUGUUGGGCUUUUGGCAAUUGUUUGGUUUGGGGUUUGCUUGGUUUAUAAAGUAAGUUUGAGUUAAUGGUGGAGAUUUAACGUCAAGUAGGGGGAAAUCCAAGUUGGGCAAAGAAGGUGAUAAGUAACUGAUAAGGCGGUGGGGCAUUUACAAUUUGGGAAUCGAAUUAGUGAGAGGCCAUUGCUUGCGUAGUAGAUUUUUUGGGACCGCCUACCUGGCUACGUCUGUGAACCAAGAUUUUCGGGUCAUUUCCUCCUCCUUUAAUUUUGUCAGAGAUAUUACUAACUUUCUGCGAACGCAGAGUUGGUUUUGUUUUGGGUUUGUGUGGUUCUGUUUUUAUACCUCUCAUGGUGCGUUAUCCAUUUUGAAAUAGUCUCUAUCUACUCUUUCUGCCCAACAAUGGAAAGAAUUAGAUUUUUUACCGAUGGGGUUCAAAAUAUAAAGAGAUAGGUACAAGAGCCCCUUAAGAUAUCCUGGCUCCCUCCCCCCCCCCCCCUUNNNNNNNNNNNNNNNNNNNNNNNNNNNNNNNNNNNNNNNNNNNNNNNNNNNNNNNNNNNNNNNNNNNNNNNNNNNNNNNNNNNNNNNNNNNNNNNNNNNNNNNNNNNNNNNNNNNNNNNNNNNNNNNNNNNNNNNNNNNNNNNNNNNNNNNNNNNNNNNNNNNNNNNNNNNNNNNNNNNNNNNNNNNNNNNNNNNNNNNNNNNNNNNNNNNNNNNNNNNNNNNNNNNNNNNNNNNNNNNNNNNNNNNNNNGCUCCCCCCCCCCCCCCUGAUUUGAAGUGACAAGGCUACAUUAAUAACUGAGUUCACCGUUAAAGUUAUCGGGUUAACUAUAUUAUCUGUUACUCGUUCUUUUUCUAAUAGUAAUGCCAAUUCCUCUGCCACAUUCACAUAGUUGGUUUGUCUCUUGUUUACUUUUUUUUAAUGAUUAAUUGUGAAGAUAAACUCAUUUUUAAGGAAUUUUCGUGAUCUGUGUAUGAAUCGAUGUACUUUCAUUUGUAAUUCAGAGUAGCAGUUUACAGGUAACUGAUUAUUGUUGCUUCAAUAAUGAAGAUCUAGGAAUUAGUCACUUGUUUAUGAUGAGUGACUUGGUCUAACAUGAGCAUUUUAGGUAUCUCUGAGGUACAAAAAGUUGAUAUUCAGGGGAAGGAAAAACUGAUAUAGAUUUUUAGUAGUAAUCUGCUCUAGCAAUUACUUUAUUAAGUUAUUCUAUCACUCACGUAUAAAUAAUCUCCCUAAUAUCUCUAAAAUUAUUAUACCUUACACCUCUCAGCAAACUAUUCCUAAAAGUUCGGAGUUAUAUUAGAACUAGUAGUCUAUUACAGUAUAACCUCACUAAAUUAAUACUUGAUUAAUUAAUAAUCGCUCUAAGAUAAUAAUUUUCUCCGGUCCCGACUUGGGCCAAUAGAAAAAAUCACUCAUUUCGAUAAGAUAAUAAAAUAAUAUAUUUUUAAAAGACUCCUAUAUAAAUAUAUAGUCCCAUUAAUAUUAUAAAUUAAUAAUUCUUUAAAAGUACAAAUAUAUCUAAGAUAAUUGAAUGAAUAUUAUUCUAUUAUGUUCUGUUUUUUGUUAAAAUUUAAAUCUAGUUGAAUUUCAUCUCUAACUUUUCUUAUUGCAUCCAAAAGUUUUGAUGUUGUCUUUUCUAAUUGCACCAUAAAAUUGUGAAGAGUUAUAGAUGUGAUAGGUGUUUCCUUACGCGUAACUGAUUUCAAAGGUAUUGUAUCAUCUUCAACUUUAUCAUCAACAUUAUUUCUCCAAUGAUUCCAAAAUUUGUUUAAAGCUUUGGACCUCUGAACAUGUAUCAUUUUCAUUCAUUCAAUGAGUUAUUAAGGUUCAUUUUAUUGCGGUAAUCGAGAUCAAUAAUCAUGACCUCAAGUUCACGAAUGACAUUUUCACAAGCGGGUUCUUUCAAAUUCUUUGAGAUGUCAUCCCUAAACAAUUUUUUCGGUGUCGAAACACUAUUUAAAUUAAUAAAUAUUAAUUUAUCGAUUAAAUAUUAUCACUAUAAAAUAAUAAUAUUUUAUGGUCUCACCUAUAUUAAUUUAGAGAGAUUUUAGUGUAUAUUCAGCUCUCUUCGUACAGUUCCAGUCUCUUUUUUUUUAUAAUUAUUUUUAUAACUAGAGCUACAUGUGAAUCUAUAAUACUUACAAGACAGGGCACAUAUUAGCAACUAAUUUUUUUUUACUACUUCUUUAGCAUAGUUUCUGCACAAGUUAUUUUCACUCUUUUCAAAGUGAUUCAUAAAUGCUGCACAAUGAACAUGGACGACUUAUUGAUGUAUUUUAGGUAAUCUGAUUGUUGUAAAACUCUUAAUAGGCGUUUGGCCAUGCGAUACCAUAUGAGAUGGAAUCAGCGUUUGGACAUGCGAUUUUAUAUUGAUUUCAUCUCAUAAUUUCAUAUCAUGAGAUGUGAUUCCAUAUUUUCCAAAAGUCAUGAUAUGGAAUUAUACGAGAAUUUCAUAUCAUGAUUUGAGAUAUUUUAAUACAAAAAUUGAUCCACGAGUUUAUAUUUUGUUAAAAUAACCCCCACAUUUAUAUCUACUAACCAUUUAUUUCAUAUGUAAAUAAAAUUUAUAAUCACAUCGCAUUGUCUUGGAAGCACUAUUUUUAUUACUCUUACAAACAUUAUUUUUAUGAAGUGCAUUCUAUAAUGCUUUUAAUUUAUUUUAUGUUCACUAAAAUAAUAUUGAUGUAUUUUUUAUUUGGUAGGAUUGUGUUGGUGCGAUUGAUGGAACAUUUAUAGAAGGGGAGGUUCCCAAAGUGGUGCAACAAGCAUAUCGUAAUCACAAAGGAAGAACAUCACAAAAUGUCUUAUGUGCGCUUGUGAUUUUGAUAUGCGAUUUAUCUUUGUUGCACAUGUUGAACCAACGUCACAAUUUUCAUUUCCGCCACAUGAUAACUUUAAAUUACAUCCUUAGAAUAAAUAUUAUUUAUUUACACAAAGUUGUUUCAUUUACGUCACAUAUGCUUUUAGUAAUUCUUUAUAAAAUGUUUGUUGGUAGAUAAAUAUUAUGUUAUUAAUGCUGGUUUCUGAAACACAAAAGGAUUUUUAGCUCCAUACAAAGGACUACGCUAUCAUUUGCAAGAUUACCGAGGAAGUGAAAGAGAGCCUCAAAAUCCCAAAGAACUGUUUAAUUAUAGGCAUUCAUCUCUGCGCAAUAUGAUUGAACGGACUUUUGGAGCUUGAAAAAAUAGAUUUAGAAUACUGAAACAAGGCAUGAACCAUUAUGAUAUUGAUACACAAGUGAAAAUUGUCAUAGCUUGUGCACUGUUACAUAAUUAUUUGUGAGAAUACCAAAGUACUAAUGAAAUAUUUAUGGUCUAUGAGCAUGAAAAUAUAGUUGCGGAUGAUAUUGACCAACAAAUGGCUCAAAGUAACAAUGUUCGUUCGUCUCCUCGGUCACAUGAUUGAGAAAUGCUAGUUCAACGUGAGGAAAUUGUCUGUACUAUGUUGGAGGAUUAUUAAAGACUAGUCCACUACGAUUUAUGUUCAAUUUUUUUUUAUUAAAUUAAAGUUAGAUGAAACAAUUACUUAAGUGGAGAACAAAUAACUUGUAAUAAUUUAUUAUGCGAUUUUAUAAUUUUUUGUUUAUUUGAUAAGAUUGAAUAAACAAUUGGGGCUAUUUUAAUAGUUUUACAACUUAAGAAAUUUUUAUGUUUAUGAGAAAAUAUAAAACACAAAAAUUUCAAAUCGCAUGUCCAAACAAAACUUCAAUUUCAUCUCAUCUGAUGGGAUUUUUAUGUUUAUGAGAAAACAUACAACACAAAAAUUUCAUAUUGCAUGUCCAAGCAAAACUUCAAUUUCAUCUCAUGAUUUUAUAUCAUGAUGCCAUAUCAUGAUUCUAUAUCGCAUGGCCAAAUGGCCCUUAGCAUUACCCUUAAUUAAACUUAAAAACUUGAUAUAGUUUAGGCUAAUACUCUAUAUAUUUGUGCUUCGAGGAAAGGCUCAAAAUAGUCCCUCAUUUUUGGGUUAAGGCUCAAAGUCAUCCUUGAGUUUUCACAUGAAGCACUAAUAGUCCAUCAUGUUUGUAAUAUUGGUGCACUUUUGAUCCUCGUUCAAAAUUUUACCUAUUUUUUAACAUUGAUUUUAUCCUGGUAUUUAGUGGACACAUCACAACAAUUGUUGGUUGGGAAUUGUUUUUCUUAGUAAAAUUAAAGUAGUUGGGAACUUGUUAUGUUGACGUACAAGUCAGUGAUUUAUAAGUAAAGAAGGAAAAACAAAAGCAGAACCAAUUGUCAAAAUAUAGGAUUACAAGGCACUUGUUUGUUUUUGUAAUGUAAUUCUUAUUUUCGAUUCUCAUACGACAAGUAUCUACUGGUAUAGCUUCAACAUUUAUUAAAUCUUCUUCCGUUUCAAAUUAUUUAUGAAAGCAAAAUUAUUAUUUUUUCCCCAAAUGUUGACUUUUUGAAGUUGUUAAUUUAAUAUUUUUUUAGAUGUCUAUUAGAUUUUCUACUCAUUUUUGUUAAUAGGUUUCAAGGUGAUUUUUAUAAUUGCAUAUAUACUCAUUAAUAAAUAUACAUAUAAAUUGAGUGAACAUUUAACAGAGAGAUAUACCUUAGAUAUAUAUAAGAUUAAACUAAUAAAAAAUUUCCUCAUAAUUAAUACUCCUUAUCUAUUUUUCCAUUUAUAUUAUUUUAAGAAAUCAUAAAUAGGAAGGAUAGUUUUACUAGUUUACCUUAUAAAAAACUUUUUUAACUUUACUAACUUUGUAUACACUUUUAAAAAAUAAUUAUAAUUAUAAGGUUAAAAUGAGAAAAAAUCAAUUCAUUUUACCUUGAUUUUAUAAAUUGACAAGUAAUUUAGAACAUCUAUUAUUAUUAUGUGGACAAUUAAUAUAAGAUACAUCAAAUAUUUCUUAUAGGUGUGUAAGGGAAAAAAAUGCAGAUAAUUUAAAAUGGAGAAGUAUAUGUUUUUGAGAAUAUCCACUACUAAUAUAUAAGAAGGAAUAGGCACACACGUCUCGGUUGACGUGUUUGCUUUCCGUAAAUAUUCACUAAGUUCAAAAUAUCACAUGUGCCACAUAUAUUAUUUCAAAAAUACAUUUAAAAUAUUGUAAAAAUAAUUGACAACAAAAUUAUAAAAUUAAAACAAAAAAAAAGAGAAACUUGCUUAAAUAUACUAUAUUAAGAAAAUAUUUAUCAUUUAUAGUAAUAACAUUUUUCUUUUCACUUGAUCACUUUUAAUACAUUUCUAAUACAAUUUUAAUCCAUAUUACAGAAAACAAUUUAUAAAACACUUAUAAUGCAAGUUUUAUUUAUAAAUAAUAUAUUUAUCACACAUUUUAAUACAAUGUGUCAAUUUCUUACCAAACAAUCAUAACAUAUUUUUAAACAGUUAUAAUACAUAUAUAUUGCAUACAUAAUUAACUUUUAAUACAUAUUGGAAAUUUAUCAUAGUAUUGUUAUGUAUUGUUAUAAAUGGUAAUAAAUAAAAAAGUAUCGCUAAAAUUAGUAAUUAUUUAUUAAAAUGUACUCAUCCAAGUAAUUUUUUCAAAAAAGUAAAUAUAUAAUAAAUUUGGAAGUUAUGAUAGUAGCAAAGCAUGGAAUUAAAAAGAAUUGAUUUGAUAAAAAAGUAGGGUUAAAGAAAGACUAAUUUUGAUAAUUGUGUAUCAAUCCGUACCAUUAAAUGUUCGUUAAUUCAAGAAUUAGUGAUGGAUCUGUUCUUGGACGGAGAAGACUUGAUCAACCCAUGCUAAUAAAGUGUUAAUUCAUGUUGUGUGCGCCGCAAUCCACCUUAAUUAUUGCUUUAUGUAUGAUCCAAGGUGGAUAUCGAUAUCAUGGGCUUCGAAGUCUUAAUCCAACCAUCAACAUGUUUAAAUGAUUAUGAAAAGAAGACUUCAAUUCUUCAAAAUCCAUAAUAAAUUAAAAUGGAUGUUUACAAAGAAAAGACCAAGAUUCAAGAUAUCCACAAGCUCAAAUUAAGUAAAUUGGAUGGUGGGUUGUGAUGGAAUGAUUGAGAUUCCUUCACUCGAUCUCAGUUUUGAGAAUUAGGGAAGGAAGAAUAUCCACAACUCUCAAGAAAUGAACUCUGCAAUAUGAGAAUCAAAUUAAAUAUGAACAUCAAACAUCGGAUGAAAAGGAGAGAAAAAAAAAGAAAAAGACUUUAACCGUGAUUAUAGUCCCAACUCGUGAUGGCGAGAUCAGUUGAGUCCACAAGAAUCACGAGUGUGAUCCUUUAUUGCGAUGGUAGAGUUGCCACAUUUUAUAAUUCGGCCCAAUCAUUUUAAUGCAUAGUUUAAGGAUUUUUUUUUGGAUAUUUAUAGUCCUAAUCAUUUUAAUGCCUAGUUCAAUAAUUGAAUUGGUAAUGAGAAGAUUACUUGAGUUGAGCAAGUGCUUAUUCUAAUAGAUUUAUCCUAUUCGUUCACAUCAUUUGGUACUACUUCUUUUUCUUUCCUUUUGAACUCUUUGGGAAUUUGUAAGACCUUAAAUAUUUUUAGGAUAUAUUAUCCCGUCAAGAUUUAAUUCAUUACUUUAACUUAUUCAAAGAAAAUAGUCUUUAAAAAACAAAAUAUGGUGAAAUAAAGACCCAAGUCCGAGGAUCCGGCUCCCCUCCAUUACCCCUUCCUUUCAUUUCAUCAAAUGCACGUCUAAAUUAGAGACAUGUGUCAUAUUUAAAGUUUAAAGGUCAAACUUAUAAUUAUAUUAACAAAUAAUCAUAAACCAUAGUUAAGUCAACUAAUUUUAGAAAACUACUCUCUAAAUUUGAUAAGAAUUACAAUAUAUUCUAUACAAAAUUUGAUAUUUAUUAAUAUUACUAAUUUCAUAUUAUAUUUUUAUAUUUAAAUAUUAAAUUGUAUGAUAUUUAAGGUGAGAAUCAACUAAACAAUUUAUGUACUAGUAAACUUUGCUCUUGAAAUAUAUAUAUAUACUAUGUUGAGAAAUAAACAAAAAAGUUAAGAAUUAUCAGUGUGUAAAAAAACCAUAAAAUAGAAGACACGAAAUAAAAAUAAAAAUAAAAAGAUGAAAGGUUUUUAGAAUUAAACGUGAAAUACCAAAAUUAUUCCAAGGAGAAAAUGUGGCUAUUGUGUUUGAAGGGGAAAAAUAUAUGUUUUUAAAAAUAAAUAUUCUUUUUUUUUUGUGAAAUAGAAGAUAAAAUUGUUUUAAAUGCAAAUGUUUUUGAAGAUUAUUGUUUAUCACACUAAAUAUAAACGUUUCAUGUUCUACAAUUUUAAUAUUUAAAUGUAAAUUAAAAAUCUAAGAUGAAAUUAAUGAUAUUAAUAAAUAUCAAAUUUUGGAUGAAAUAUAUUGUAAUUCUUACCAAAUUUGAAGAGUAGAUUUCUAAAAUUAGUUAAUUUAACUAUGGUUAUGAUAUUUGUUAAUGUAAUAUAAUCUUGACCUUUAAACAUGACACAUGUCUCUAAUCUAGACGUAUACUUGACAAAAUGAAGGGAAGAGAUAAUGGAGGAGAGCCGGAAGUCCGAACGCUUUCAUAAUUUCAAUUUUCAUACAUGCUGCUAACGUGAUUAAAAAAGCAAGAUAAACACGCAACUUGUUUCCUUUUUAAUUUUUGGUUGGGGGUGGGUGAAGACUUAUAUAUGUGUUGAGUGUUGUAACUUCCGUCCACUAUUCAUUUUUAUUUGUCAAAUAUUUUUUAAUUUAAUUUAUACUUUUACUUAUUAUUUUUGAUAAAUCAAAAAAGUACAAUUUUUUUCUUUCUAUAAUAUCUUCAAUUAAUUUACAUUGAGUUAAUAUCUUUGAAAAUUAUAGUGGAUAAAUAUGUUUGAGACUCAAUCAAUUAAUAGAGAUAAAAUGAUGAACUCAUUAUACUAAAUUACUAAUUAUGUUUUCUUAAUAAGUGAGUCAAAUCAAAAUUUGACCAGUAAAUCUGAACAGAGGGAGCGACUUAUUUAAGCUUAUUAGUUUUUCUAUUCCCACUCUUCAAUUUUACUUACUAUUUUUUAAAUAGAUUUUUACUUACUUAUCAUUUUUAACAUAUUAAAUAAAUCAAAAAGACAAUCUUUUUCCGUCCGUUUAUUUUUACUUGUCAAUGUUUGACUUGAUACACUCAUUAAGAAAAUAAUUAUUGCAAUAUAGGUAUUUUAUCAAAUUAUCCCUAUUAAUUGAUGAUUAGUAUUAGGUCUUAAAAAAUAAUUUGAAGAAUAAGUAUUUAAUGCUGAGGGUAAAACAUGAAUAAAAAAAUUAUUAUCUUUUUUAUAUAUGUCAAAGUAAAAACUAAAAUCUAUUUUACUAAUAAUUGAAAAGUGAACGAAGAGAGUAUUACUUUUAGCGUUAAUUAGUAAAAUAAUUAUGUUAAUUAUUACUAUUUGUUAAAGUAGGUGGAAAAUCCAGAGUUAGACGACUAAAAGUGAAGAGUAAAGUAAUUGAAAUAAAGAUGCACAAAAAGGCGCAGUUGCAAUCGCAAAGAACCCAUAAUUGGAAAUAUAGGUGCUCUAAUAGCCUACGAUUUCACCAAGCCAGAGUCGUCUUUAGUUAGAUGUCAAGAUUACUAAAAUCUACCCUACAUUAGGAGAAUAUAAAAGGGAUCUACAGAAAGCUGCUAACAUUAAAAUUAAGAAAAGCAUGGAGAGUUUGGUGGGUGAGUGGGAAGCUGCAGUUGCAGUUUGCAAAGUACCUAAUUGGAACAGAGGUGCACUAAGACAAGACCCUAUAAUUGGACCAAAGCCAAAUUUAUCUUUACAAUUCAACCUAAAAUCCACCACCACACAUUUGAGUAGAUACAUUUUAUUUUAAUCUGAAGAAACACUUUGGUAUUUCACUCCAUUUUCAUGCUUAGGAGAGUAUUCCACCCCAAUACCAUUAGCAGCAGAUAGUUUUGUCCUAGUCUCCACAUAGUUUCCGGCCAUAGAAUCAAACAAAAUGCCAGCGCCAAUGCCAACAGCCAAAUCAAUAGUGUAAUGGCCCCUAGUGCUUAACAACCUCACAACUUGCAAUACAUUCAAUGCGUCAAAUACUCUAGCCAUUUCCCAUCUCUGCAUACGUUUCAUAUCCAGCGAAGCAAUAACGGAGGCCGCAACAUGCCCUGAAUAAAACAAGAAAAACGACACAUUCCCUACUGGGAAAUCGACCCCUGACCCCAAGAAAUCCUACAAUUCAGAAAGUGAUAUAUCACUGCAUUUUUCGAAAUUUAGUAUUCAUAGCAUUAAAUUGAAUCAUACAUUCAAAUAAUUCAGAACAUGGAGGUUUAAUGGUAGAGAAUGACACUGUACACAGUACACUAGUCAGUUUCAAAUGUGGGUGGUGCUAAUGUAAUGUCCAACUACAAGCAGUAUAACAUUAAAUUAGCUAGGACAAGUCCAAGCUAUUUGUUAGACAGCUAUAUAUGCUGAUUAAGGCUAAAGUUAUAAUAUGGCCCCCCGGCCCCCAAUAUGACUUUAUGGAAAAAAAUAUUAGUAUUAAUCAACAUUUAUUCAACAUUAAUAUUUCUGUUAUAUAGAAUAUUAUUUGAAUACUAAUUUUACUUGUCCAUUUUAGCAAAUGAAGAUAAAUUUAUUACUCAUUUUCUUCCAAUACUACUCGGAUUAAAUUAAAUUUUCAAAGCUUAUUUAUAAAUAUUUCUCAUGUAAGUUAAUAUGGACCAAGUAAAAUGAAACGGGGAGCCUUCUAUGAGCACGAGGCUACACGAAAGUUCAAGAUAGUCCCAUCCAUACUAGUAUGUAAGUCAAAUGUAUGGUUAGCUUGUGAUCUACGCGAAUAAAGCGGAAAUAAUGCAUUUUUAAGUGGUGAAUUACGUCAAAUUAUUAAGUUAUUCAAAUAUUAAUAUUUUUAGAAAUAAGCCUUCUCAAAAUAUAAAAUUGUAAUUUAUAAUCUUAAAAAUAAAUAUGAAAUUUGUAAUCUAAAAAAAACAAGAGAUAGUUACCUGUUACAACUAGUCUACACUUGAUAAAGGUGAUUUGCUAAAGUUAUUGAAACUCUCUUUUAAAAGUUUUUAAAGCAAAAGGCAUCUAUCUAGCUGUAAAGAAAGAGCUUGUAUACAGGGGUGGAUUAAUAGAAAAAAGGGAAAGUAAAAGUACCUCCGGCAACGGCAAUUGUGUAGCAUACCCGAGAAUCCCUCUGAAUGUGAACAUAAACAGCGCCGAUAUUGUCGCUCGAGGCCGUCCUUCAAUUAGAAAAGUCCCCAAAAUGUACGCCGUUUGCAUCGCCACAAACACCUAAAUUAAACCCAAAUGAAAAAAAAAAUUGAAUGAAUUUUGAUUAAUGCUAAAAUUUUGUCGAUUAAAACUGUAGAUCCAGUUCAUAACUAGAUCGAUAACACCGUCAUGCACCGAUUUGGUGAUGUGCGUAGUAGCGUAUAGCGUACCGUGUUUAGUCCAGCAAAAAGAGUGUUGAGAGCGGGUUUAGCAGCAAGCAAUCGAUUAAGAGGAACUGUAACAAUAAAUCCCAGAUCGAAAGGCGGAGCAGAAGCUGGAAUCAUACGAAGAGUAUAUUCCACUCCCAUGAAAAACAACAGUGAAGCAGCGAAGAUACACGGUAUCGGAUGGUACUUCACUACACCGAAUACAUCCUCCAUCCUCCACUUCAUGAAAUACGCAUUACCUAACCACCACCCAUAACCACCAACCUCCGUUGCCGUUGCCGUUGCCGAUGCCGAUUUCUUCUUCAUUUCUGUAACGUCACCUUUCCUUUCAGUGCUGUUCCUUUUGCUGAGAGUGGAGGAAGAACUGUUCCGAUUAUGAAAUGUGUCUCCGUUCAUCGUUGCCGGAAAUUGAGACGGAGAAAAACAUGGUGAUUGUGGAUCUAGUGAAUGUGUAUAUAUAUAUGGGGAUCAAAUGACGGAGUUUACGAAGGUUGUUGUCGUAGAUAUUUAAUUUGGCGAUGAUACGUAUAUCAGAGAAAUCAGAGGGGAUGGGAAUAUCGUUUCCGUUUCAAUUACAAGUGUUGCAAAUGCAAGACAAUCGGCAAACCAACUUUUUGACUAAAAUGCCAAAUAGGGACUAUCCGGGGUAAUUUGGUAUUAUAGUUCACGAAAUUAUAAUUUUUAGAUUAAUAUUUGGGAUAAUUUCAAACACCUCCCCUCAAGUUUAACCUUAUAACACUAAUUUCCCUUCUAGUUUCAGAUAUUUCCUUAUUUUUCACAUUUAUGUAACCAAACAAAUUAGUUUUAAUGCUAAAACCCAUCCAAUAUUCCAAAGUUGCCCUUUCUUGACAUUAUUUUUUAUUAAUCAUUAAAACUCAUUCAAUAUUUCAAAGUUGCCCUUUCUUGACAUUAUUUUUUAUUAAUUUUUUAAACGGAAAUUUCCAAAAUAUUUUAACUGACAUAAAAUUAUCUACUGAUGGUGCUACCAUCUUUCAUUAUAUACAUCUAUGUAUUUCCUUGUAAACUAUCUUCUUCUUUUUAUCAAACACAACAUUAUAAACUAUCGAACUUGCUAAUUGGUGGAACUUCUUAAACAUAUUAAAUUUAGUUGUAAUUUUUACGGUUAGUACAUAUGCAAUAUUUUAAGUACAAAAAGAAUGUUGAAAAUUUAUUAUAAAAAUAUUGUUUAGGGUCGGAAAAUAUUGGUAAUUAUGUGCAGAAAAUUUUAUAUAUAUAUAUAUAUAUAUAUAUAUGAACAUAAUUUUUUUUCUUAAAUCUAAAAAAUUAUCAAACUAAACAUUUAUUAUCGCAUGUCAAAUGAAAGAAAUAAUGUUUAUACAAAUAUUUGGAGGUCAAGUAUGCAGGUUGCACUUUUCUAUCCAAAAAUGAAUUUACCCAUUGAUUUAUUUUUAUCGUUUAGAAUCCAAGUUCAAGCUAAAAAGGCUCAAAUAUAGUCUUAAAAACUGGAAUGAAAUAUUGCUUAGGUUAUUAAUCAUAUAGAAGUAUUAAAUAAUUAUAUUAAUGUCAUAAAAGGGUAUUUUUGGAUUGUGGUUGAAAGAUUAUCAUUUAAAUAAGUUUGAUUACAAAAAUUUAAAAACAAGAGAGGUGAGUGUAAUAUCUGAAACCACAAGGAAAGUAAGUGUUAUAGGGUUAAACGUGAGGGGAGGUCUCUGAAAUUAUCCCUUAAUAUUUUAUUUUUAAAAAAUAACUCAAAUUAUUUUGGAGGAGGUUGCAACAAAUAUUAGUUGAAAUUAAUAAAUAAUGGAUAUUUUUUAUAAAAUAUAAAAGUUAAGGGUACUUUUUGAAUUUUUUAAAAUUUUCAAAUAUUAAAACUUGGCUCAAAUACUAGUAGUUUUUUUCUAAUAUUUGAGAAUUUGGUAUACUUGACAAAUAUAUUUACCAAAUUAUAUGACCAAACACCACUUUUCAAGUUUUUUCGGUGGGGCCAAACGGGUAAAUAUACAGGUUUAGCAUGGAAUCACACAAAAGUGGUGAGCUGUUUCAAUACUUGUGGACUCAAAAGUAGGGAUUUUUUUUAUUUUAGUAUACAGUCUAACAAAUUCAUCUGAUCCUACGUCCUUAAUUUAAUUUUAAAUUCAUCUAACACAUAUUACCCUUAAGGUCCUAAAAAUUUCUAAAAAAAAAAAAAGUUGAAGAAUAUUCAAAUAUAUAAUCAUAAUUUUGUCACAAUCCCAAAUAAAUGAAGAUUCAGUAUAUGAAUGAAAACAAUUAAAUUUCUUUUAGAUCAACGUACAAAAUAUAUCUAUCUCUACUUUUUUAUUCUUUUAAAGAAAUAUAUUGCAGAGUCUUAGUCAUAAACCCGUAUGUAUAAAACUUUAUUCUUUCAAUAUCUCAAUGUAAAUGCAGAUUAAAAUUUUGAUAAGUUAUUUCUUGUUUUUCUAGAACACUUUUAAAAAGAAAAUACAAUAGAAAAACGACAAAUAUCUCAAACCACAUGAAAUAGUAAUGUUUUUUUGUUGAUUAUAAAUAUUAAAUUAAUCUAGAGAGUAGACACUGAGGUCCCUAGCAUUUAUUAAUAUAGUAUAUUAUAACAAGGAAUUAACUGUACAAUACCUUCGAACUUGGUUGUCAUUAUUUAAUUCGUUUCUACAUUUUUGUCUCCAGUCUUAUUCCGAUAUGUUGGGCGUUGGCACAAUGCAUUAACUGGUCGGUAUAUCCAAUCAUGUGACCGUCUAUAUGCUGACGCAUAUCUAAGGAAUUUCCUCGAGUUUACGUGAACUCAUACUUUCCUCUCUAAAUCAUGUAUAGUAUUGUCAUAUUUGUAAAAAAAAAAAAAAAACUUUAAUAUAAGAGUUGUUAAGUAUACACUUUAAUAUAAGAGUUGUUAACCUACACUUUUAAGUAUACAUUAUAUAUAUGUGAUGAUUAGGUGCAUCUCUCUUUAAGUGAGGCUAGAAAGUGUCCGACUAAGUUAAUCCAAAAAGGCAAGGAGUAAAUCAUAUGGGAUGUUUCAACUUUUACCAGCAGAAGCAUAGUUAUCCACUUUGAGAUGUGAUGCUGAAACAGACCAAGUAGAAAGGACACAAAAUUAACAAGACACUUCUCUGGCAAUUCAAGACGUAAAUAGGCUGGAGACGAUUCAUGAAAAACUGGUUAAAUUCUACAGGCUGAUAACUGAUUAAUGCAUUUGCGUAACUCGAGCACCUAUGUGUAGAGUUACGCAAAUGCAUUAGCUUUGAUCAAGCUUAUUGUUGCGUUAAUGUUCAUCUAGCCGGCAUGACUGUGUAUUUGAGAGAGAGAGAGAGAGAGAAAACAACUGACUUGCUUGAGCUCUUAAUAAUUACACUGCCAUAGUUUAGUGCUUGAACAGAAACAACUUAACAGGCAAAAUUUCUCAGAGGUUGAACUGAAUCCCUAAUCUACCUAUAAUUAUCAACAUUUUGUCUUUCUUUGAAUCCUUCUUUUAACUGAAUACUGAUCUUCCAUACUGUCUCAGCUUCCACAGGAGACACUGCCAAACUUCUUAUCACUGGCGUCAAGAGGUUGUAUCCUAGAUCUGAAAAUCUACAGCUCCCACCGAAAAUAUAGCACAGGAGCAUUUGCAUCAGAGAGCCCACUGCAGACCGCUACCUUGAUGCUUGAUCAAGACCAGCGGCAGCAGAGCUAAUGCCAGGGGUAACACCAUUUUCAUUUGGAGGUGGUGUACCCCAUUUACCUUCUGACUCUAGAGGCUCAAGCACAUAAACUCCACCAUCAGUAAGUCCUACUGCGCAUUGGUUUGAUUCAGAUGGAUGAGCAGCAACGACAAGUGGAUAUACUCUGGAGC